AGAGAACCAGUUCCAGUAAAAUGAUUUGAUUGUAACAGUCCUUAAAUGAGGUGAAAUCCAGAGCAAACCAUCGAUAGUGUUUUUAAUUGCGACUCGCACACGGGUUCCAGUUAUUGCAAAGUCCAGGUUGUUGUAACCAUAGAAUGGGGAAGAUCGGAUUUGCCUCAAGUCUUCUGGAAUAUCCGCAUUCUGCACAAAAGAAUUUGAAUAAUAUAUAAGAAAUAAAAAAGUAUGUAAAAUAGUAAACAGCUCGAUAUUUAAAUGUAUACAUAUAGCAUGCAAGAAGUGACAUACCUCACCCUUGUAACUUUUCAAAUUCACCGCUUUGGAAACAUUAUGGAACAUUGCAAGGAGUCCAAUAUACUCAGAAUACCAGUCAAUGUCGCUGUUAUUCUUGUUGAAACUGAGAUGAGUUUCCAACAAAGUCAUAGCACCUAUAGAGAAGGAUACCACAUCACCUUGAUAUCUGAAAAUACUUAAAUUAGGAGCCUCAAUCUUGACUUCAAUCAACCCUGCACAUUCAAAGAUCUUCAGCAUCUUAAGACUGAGACUUGAAAUCUUAAUACUCUUCAACUUGUCACAACCAACCAAAUUCAAAUUCUCGAGGAAUGGAAAGUUAGGAAUUUGGCUACAAAGCCACUCAUCCUUCAGAGAAAGCAGGCGCAGAGUUAAAUUUUUAAUAUUCUUACAGGAGGCUACAUUGAUCUCGCAUGGUAAGCUUAAUUGAAUGCUAACUGUCUUCACAUUCAGAGUUUGGAUAGAAAGCCAUAGAACUUCCAGACAGUUACGGACCUUGAAUUCAUUGAGUUUGGUAAGACCAGAUAGAUCUAGAGUAUUAAAGCCAAGGCAGUUAACCAGACUUAGAUGUUCAAUCAAAGGACAGCCAUCAACUAGGCUCUCAAGGACUAGAUCGGCAGCAUAAACGCUUGUGAGACAUAAUUUUUUCAAAGAAGAUAACUUCACACUUCUCAGAGACUGCAGCUUACAACAACUUAAGGCUAACACUUGUAUUGAUUUUGAGCAUAAAACCUCUUGAGGCAAAUUGUAGCAGCGCUUGUUAUGAGCGUCAACUGAAGGCAUUCCUGGUCUAGUAUCAACAACACGUGCACUAGUAUGAAAUGGAAGUGCGAGUUUCAGCUCUUUGACAUCACUUUCUAAUGCAGAGAAGAUACACCGGUCUACAAAUGGUCCGAGUUCUUUUACCCGUAAUUCAUACAAGUCAAGUGUGAACUUGUCUAACCUUAUCAUCUCCCUGCGGCGGGUGCGCAGAGUUCCCUCUACAUAAUUUAAUGCCCUGCUUAACUUCUCAUCUCCAAGUUGAGCUUCAAUUUUGUUGUUGCAAGAAACCGAAGGAACUUGAUUAAAGAAAGUUUUAUCAAAUUCCAAAAUUGGGAAUGUACGCCAGGCUCGUUCCCAUGCUUGCGACAAAACAGUUGUUUGAACUACUUGUUUAAAUGAGAGGAAUGACAAAAUACAAUGCAGUAUUGGUUCCGGCAAAUUAGAUAUCCUGUCCAUGCUGCUAAGCACCUCCUCCAUAAUAACAAUAUCACCACCAGAUUCCCUGAAUCAGUAGCAACAUCUUCCUUCUAAGUAUGCUAAUUAAAUUGAGACAACUGAGUACUAAUAAUAAUAAGAAUAUUGGCUGGAUUCUAUCAAUUUAAUUCAAUGUAAUAAAGAAAAUAAAUAAUCCUAACAAAAACUCUUUUGAAUUGAACAUGUUUAAUUUCUUUUUUGUACGAGAAGAGACACUGAAACUUUCACUUUCACCGGAAAAAGAAAAAUCAGCCUAAAACAGAACUGAAUUAUUUAUAAAAGAAAAGAAAGGAAAAGAAAAGAAAAAGAGACACGUUAACACAGAACCAAUAUGGAUGAGGAUGAUAAAAUACCUAUUCAUCCGAUCGAUCAAUCGUGACAGUCCAACAGCGACAGCGACGGCAACCGAAACAGCAGAACUGUCAAGAAAGGAUUGAUCUGCUUUAACUAUGUUUUGUAUAGGCUUAAUUUUGAGGAUUCCGAAUCCAAAACAGACAAAGUCACAACAGCAAAAUUAUGUAGGCUCAGUCUGCUCCGUGUAUAUAUAUUUUGAAAAUUCCAAAUCCAAAUCGGACACGUCCUUCUGCUUCUCCUAACGCGAAUCGGACAUGCGGCUAGUCGCUACGCAACAGUAAUUAAGCUUUUUGGAGAUAAGAGUGGUUUCGUUUCCAUCCAUUUUAUGUACUUCCAUCUGUUAGUUGAAGAACUAGUUUGUUACAAAGUACGCAAAUCUAACCCUGACAACUUCGGAUGACGCAAUCUUUUGUCAUCAAAUAGGCUUUUGAGUCUUGACUCUUGACACCCCCUUCAAAAUUCCGAACUGCUUAAAUAAUCGAAGUAAUUUAUGAAUAAUGAUAAAUAUUUUAAAAAUUUUAUCCCAAAGAAAUUCAAGUAAAUAUUUAAAUAUUAUUAUUCCUUGAAAAAAAAUUUAACACUAUCUUAUUUCAUAAUUUGUAUUAUUCUUUAAAUUUUAAUUAAAGAUAUGUUCUUUAUUGAUGCGAGAUUCUGGUUACCCUCUCGACCACGAUUAGGAUCUCUGCUCAAUCAACUCGACCACGAUCAGGAUCUCUCCUCGUAUGACUUCUUUUUAAAAAAUUCAUGCGUACACAGAAAUAAGUCAGAGCACGCCGGUUGUUUUCAAAUUGCACAUGACAUAUGAAAAGAUAAUCAAUUCACAGGGGUGGAGUAAUCUGAGACUUACCCAAUUAUGUAUAUUGAAUAGACGUACGGUGGAAAUUUAUAUAACUUUUUGCAUUUUAUUUCUUAUGUUUUACAUAUACAUGAGGAACUUAAUUAUAACCCAGAUUGCUUACAUGAUUAACACAUAAUUAUUUGUAAUCUACGCAUAUUAUGCCCAAAAAAUUUCAAUUUUAAUUUUGAUGAGUAAGUAAUACACAGAAACUUGUCUGCAAAAGGUAUAUAUCAAAUAGAAAUAGACCACUCCAUUGAAAUUAGCUUUUGAAUUAUCUUGAAAAUUGAAAGGCCAUUCAUAGAUUUAGUGCUCUUUUACUUUUGCUGUAUUCAGAAUUUGUCAGCUUCUCUCAUAAAUUAUCCACAAGAUUAAUUAACACUCCUGAAAGUGUUUUCCUGAAAAUGAUCUUAACUGAAUGAAUAUGGCAAUAUGAAAAGAUGCAAUUGAAUUUCCAGUUAACAAAAAGCAUAGUAGGAUUCACUUAAUAGCCUACAAUGGUAAGAAUUAAUGGCCACAGUGAUUGAUUUCUUCGAAAGCAUAUGACAGACAUACUUCCAAAUCUUGACUGCAAAUCACAAUAGCCUAACAAGUCUAUUGCAAAUCAUGAACAAAUCCACUUUAACAAAAGGGUGUUUGAAACCUGAUCUUCCAAACAGAGAAAUAAUAAUGUCGAGCAAAGGUGCCCACCUACAAUUGUCUUAUUGUAGAAUGCACAAUGAUCCAUUUUGCUGAUUCUGGAUUUGUUUCUUUCAAUCUCUUAUUAUUCAACAUUUAAUGAUAUUCAGCUCACUAUUUUACGUAAACUUUUUUACCACAUUGUUCCACUUUUUGUUACUUUUGUGGUUUGUCGUGUCGUGUAAUUACUAUUAACUAGUCAAAGGGCCUGCCAUAGCUAGAUGCAUGCGUUGAAAUUCUGGCUGCGCAUAUGUGCUGUGAAAGCUACACGAGAUUUGUUGGGUUGCGCGCCACUGCCAUGUGAACUAAAUCACAAUGGAAAACUAGUGUGAAAAACGAUUGCCUCUGCUCUCUGUUUAAACGAAUUUACUAUAGUUAAUCAUAUGUUGUUGUCUUGUUGAUUCUAAUGUGGGUCUUUAUUUAUUAUUUAAGUUUUUGAAUCAGUCCUCUUGGCGCAGCUCAUUUGGCAGUAAAUAUGCUUUUUGUCCAUGAUAACAUUGAGUUUAAGUAAUAAUAGAGAGGUUAGUAGUUGGUGUUUAGUGGGUGCUAUUUAUUUUUUCAUCUGGUCGGUUAAACUAUUAUAUAAGUCUUUUUUUUUUAAUUUCAUGAAAAUUUUUAGUUACUAAUCAUUAAGUUAUUAAGUCAAUUUCUUUUAUCUUUUUGUUUAAUUUAAAAAUCUAAAUGAUUAAAUAUUUGAGAAUGCAGCUGCGUUAUAUAUUUGUUAGUAGAAUAAGUAUAUCAAUAAGUUAAGUUAUUAAGUCAUUUUUUUAACUGUUCUAGCUUAACCAAGGUUUUCAGAUCGAGACUUGGGAAUACAACUGCUUUAAAUACUUAUUGGGAGAGCUUUGUCGCCUUAGUAGUCAUACUCAGCUCAAAUCUGGAUUAGUCGGGGCCUAAUACAGUCUUCAUAUACUAGAUAGUUUAAUAUACCAAAAAAAAAUCUAAAUGAUAUCAUUAAAACAUAUUCUCUAAAAUAUUUCUAUAUAAUUAAUUAAUUUUCAUACUUACCUAAAUAAAAUCUAUUAAUUAGUAUUAUUACCCAUCUUCUUGUGAUAAUAUAAAGGUAGGAUAUUAUUAUUUUUAUCUUUUAUUUUCUUCAAAUUAGCACUAUUUAUCUUUAUAAUUUUUUCUGAAUAUUUUUCCAAGAAAAUAUCAUAAAUUACAAUAAAAUUGAUUAGCAUAUACUAAUGCAUAAUGUUGAGUGUUAGAAAAUACAUAUUUAUAAAGGAGAAAACCGUCAUUUUACAUUUCAAGUCUUACUAACAACCCUUACUUUUAUGUACUUAACCUUCUUGUGAUGUAAUUACGUGUGUGUUAUUUUAAUUAAGUAUUUUAUGUAUUUUAGGGGCAUUAUAGUCAUUUCACAAUAAAGGAGAGAUCAGACGGCAAAACGGACAUCACUUUUGAACUCAGGAUGGUCGAAAACCUUAGGAGGAGCAUAAAAGGAAAAAUGGCACUAUUCACAUGUACGGUACUAUUCACGUAUACGGUACUGUCUACGUUACUGUUCACGACACUGUUCACAUAGACGGAUCGAUGACGUGGCAUUGACCGAUGAUGUGGCAUUGACUGAUGAGGUGUCACGAUCCUGUUGGGCUAAAAUUCUUAUGUACUGUUGAUGGUGACGUGGCAGCAUAUCAGUGGACGAAAAAUCUCACGUACGGUGCAUGCAUCACACAGGAUUAUUUUCAACCAAACCGCGUUACUGUUCAUCCGGGUCAAACCGUGUUACUGUUCAUCCGCGUGGUCAAACCGUGGACUGUUGACUGAUGACGUGGCGCAAUCCUGAGCGUCCAAACUGUUUUUAAUCCGAUGGCCAUGAUUUACUCCAUGUAUCUAUAAAAAGGGGGCCUCCCCCCCCUAAUUUGAUAUCUCUGAAUCCAUUUUUGGGAUCCAUUUUCUGUAAUUCCUACUCCAUCUUGUAUUUUCUUUGUAUUUUAAUAAAUUCCCAUUUUGCCCCUAGUUCAAUUAUGAGUGGCUAAUUUUCUUUCAAGCUUGGGUUGAAGGUGAAGUCUCAACAUGUGUCAUGGGCUUUAUUUGGUAAAUUUAUUUUCUUUUCCCCUCUAGUUUUUGUGGAUGAUUUGACUUAUCGUCGACAAAUAAUACUGAUCUUGUCUAGAUACCGCCUUGGUUACACCGGCUCUCUAGUAUAAGGUUAUUAUUAUUUGGCACGAUAAGCCCUUAGCACCAUAUUGAUUAGAGCGUGGUUCAUGAGGUGUGGAUUCCCCCCUCAUGAUUUAAUUGGCAUUAAUACGGAUUAUUUAGCCCAUGAUGCAUGUUGAUACGGAUCCAGAUACCCAAGUACGUCAAUUUAAUAGAUUUUCUCUUCAAUUUAUUCUCUCCAUUGCAAUUCCAAUUUUAGAAUUUAUUCUCGCCAUUUUAAUUUAAGUAUUAGCAUAUUCCAAAUCAUUUCCACCAUAAAUCCAACUACCCAUUUACAAAAUUAAUUCUAUAUAUAAUUAAAAUCCACCUCCUCGUGGGAUCGACACUCGUCACCAUUAGUCUAUACUACAAUAGAUUCGUGCGCUUGCGAGUACAUUAAAAUUUGCACAACAAGUUUUUGGCGCCGUUGCCGGGGAGGUAAGUAAUUUUAAUUCAUAGAAUUAAUUUUUGUGGAUAAUUUCUUUUAUUUGUUUUCUUGUAUUUUUUUUUAUUAAAAAAAAGAAAGAAAAAAAAGUAAAUCUACAUUUAGAGGUUAGUAUUUCUUUUCUUUUUCUCUUCUUUAAAAUUCUGUAAUUUAAUUUUCAAUUUAUUUUUUCUUUGUAAUUUUUGUUUAUUUUAUUAAUUUAAUUUUUAGUUAAUUUAUUUCACGUAUUUGUUUUUGUGUAUUUUUAUAGAAAGGUUGUAAUAGCGCAAUAAGGUUAGUAUCGUAAUUUCUCCCUCUUCUUUAUUUUUAUUUGUUUUGUUCCCAUCUUUAUUUUUUGUUUUGUUUGCAUCUUUAUUUUUAUUUUUAUUUUAUUUUGCAUGCAUGGUCGUAGGUCAUUAUUACCUAAUCUUGAACCUAUAGACCUUGAAUUAGAAAAAACACUUCGCACACACAAACACGUUAAAAAUAAAAUGGAUUUGCAACCACAGGAGAGGCCAUUUAAGGACUAUUUUAGUCCCUUAGCUAAUUUGAGCACGUCAUGCAUAAGAUACCCAAAUGUAGCUGCUAGGAGUUUUGAAUUAAAACCUAGUGUGUUAAAUUGUCUCCCCACAUUUUAUGGCCUAGAAAAUGAGGAUCCAUAUAAUCAUUUGAAUGAUUUUCAUGCCAUUUGUCAAACAUUCAAAUAUGAGAAUUUUUCAGACGAUGAUGUUAAACUCAGACUAUUCCCAUUUUCUUUAAAGGAUAGAGCUCGUUCAUGGUUAAAUACGUUGCCUGCUAACAGCAUUUCAUCAUGGGAACAAAUGGUAACUAAAUUUUUGAAUAAAUAUUUCCCAGUGCAUAAAACCAAUUCUAUUCGCAGGGAAAUUUCAGAGUUUACACAAAGAGAGGACGAGCAGUUUUUCGAAACUUGGGAGCGAUUCAAUGGGCUACUCUUGAAGUGUCCACAUCAUGGGUACGAGAAAUGGCACCAAUGCCAAUACUUUUUGGAGGGAUUAUUGCCGAAUGUGCAAGAAUGGCUAAUGGCAACAAGUGGAGGAGAGCUAAUGUCAAAAAGUGCAUCAGAGAUUUGGGAAUUCUUCCAGCGACAAGCGGAUAAUUCCCAACAACGGAGUCGAUCACUCAGGAAUACUAGAAGAAUUAAGGGAGUAAAUGAGGUUCAAAUUGGCGAGUCAACUUCGGGAAUCAAAGAAGUCAAGGAGAUGGUUGAAGGUCUCGCUCGACAAAUAGCAUCGUUAUCGACUGUUAAAUCAACAGAACCACAUGACCAUGACUCAUACUCUGAUCAAGCCAAUGCCAUAGGUGUAAUGAGAAAACCAUCGAAUUACAACCCAUACUCCAACACAUAUAACCCUGGAUGGAGAGACCACCCCAAUUUUUCAUGGUCUCAAGGAUUCCAACAGAAUGGACCAGCAGCUCCAGCUCCAGCUCCACAAAUUCCUCAAGUUCCUCAAGCCUCUCAGCCCCCAUUUAGACCAUUCAAUCAGAACCAGAACUACUCUCAACCCAGAUCAUGGGAGGAUUCAUUCCAGAAUUUCAAGAAUGCUACUCACUCUACGAUUGAGCAACAGAACCGCACCAUUGAUGGACUACGAAAUGAGUUGAGAGCGGGCUUCAAUUCACAAGCCCAAUCAGUUUCAAGCCUCGAGAAGAUGGUGGGACAACUUGCUUCUUCAGUUCAGACCUUGGCAAUGACUGUUGAGAAAGGCAAGUUUCCAAGUCAACCAGUGCCUAAUCCUAAAGGAGUGCAUGAAGCAAGUACCAGUUCACCACAGCAGCAUGGAGAGGUCAAAGCAGUCAUGACCUUGCGAAAAGGAAAGGAAGUCGACAAUAAAGUGGAGAUGCCGGUGACAAAAGAAAAUCAAAUUGUACCUGUAAAUGCUGAGGACUCACCACCGGAGGAAAAAGAAGAAACCAACCCACGAGAAUACGUUCCCAAAGCUCCAUUUCCUCAGAGGUUAGUGAAAGGAAAGAAGGGAAAAUCCACAGGUGAGAUUCUCGAAAUCUUCAAACAGGUAAGUGUCAAUAUCCCUUUGCUUGAUGCUAUAAAACAAGUUCCAUCUUAUGCCAAGUUUCUUAAAGACCUUUGUACUAAAAAGAGAAAUAUGCAUGUUCAAAAGAAGGCAUUUUUAACAGAAAACGUUAGUUCUAUACUCCAACAUAAAAUUCCUUUAAAAUGCAAAGACCCAGGCUCCCCCACUAUCUCAUGUAGUAUAGGGAACCACACAAUUGAGAAUGCUUUGUUGGAUUUAGGAGCUAGUGUAAAUUUGUUGCCUUACUCUGUAUUCGUGAAACUUGGACUGGGAGAAUUACACCCAACUCCAGUGGUGUUACAGCUUGCAGAUCGGUCCACGAAAAUACCUCGUGGUAUUGUGGAGGACGUGCUUAUCCAGGUAGACAAGUUUUAUUUUCCUGUUGAUUUCAUUGUAAUUGACACUCAACCAAUACAGGAUUCAAAGAAGCACAUCCCCAUUAUUCUAGGCCGACCUUUCUUGGCGACUGCGGAUGCUCACAUUCAAUGCAGGACUGGAAAUAUGCAGUUGUCCUUCGGCAACAUGACUAUGGAGCUAAAUAUUUUCAACAUUGCCAAACAACCUCACAGUGCAGAUGAUGGAAUUGUUGAUGUGGAUUUAAUAGAAACAAUAGUUGAUAAUACUUUUAUUUCAAACCUUAGUGAUGAUCCUUUACAAACAUGUUUAACUCACUUUGGUUUGGAUUUUGAUAUUGACAGAUCGGUCGAAGAGGUCAACGCCCUACUUGACUCAGCACCAUCCAUGGACACUAAUAAAUGGAAGUCAAGAGUUGAACAACUAGCACCAUCAGAGAAGAAACUCAUUCCAUCAUCAGAAUCACCACCGAAACUCGAGCUCAAACCAUUACCCAACACUCUAGAAUAUGCAUUUUUGGGAGAAGAAAGUACUCUGCCGGUAAUCAUCUCAUCAUCCCUAAAUGACGAACAAAAAGGUAAGUUGUUGGAUGUUUUAAAAGAGCACAAAGGGGCAUUAGGAUGGACCAUAGCAGACAUAAAAGGUAUAAACCCAGUAGACUGCAUGCAUUACAUUCACCUUGAUGAAAAUGCUAAAUCUACUAGGGAAAUGCAACGUCGGUUAAAUCCUAAUAUGAAAGAAGUUGUUAGAACAGAAGUCCUUAAGCUAUUAGACGCAGGUAUCAUUUACCCAAUUUCUGAUAGUUCAUGGGUCAGUCCUGUACAAGUUGUCCCCAAAAAGUCAGGAGUCACAGUAGUUACCAAUGCUGAUAAUGAAUUGAUACCAACUAGAGUAACUACAGGAUGGCGUGUAUGCAUUGAUUAUAGAAAGUUGAAUUCUGUCACACGUAAAGACCAUUUUCCUUUACCAUUUAUCGAUCAAAUGCUUGAUAGAUUAGCAGGCCACGAAUUUUAUUGCUUUCUAGAUGGCUACUCAGGAUAUAAUCAGAUUCCCAUAGCACCAAAAGAUCAAGAGAAAACUACUUUCACUUGCCCUUUUGGCACAUUUGCAUAUAGGAGAAUGCCAUUUGGAUUAUGUAAUGCACCUGCUACAUUUCAACGAUGCAUGUUAAGCAUUUUUUCUGAUAUGGUUGAACGAUUCCUUGAAGUCUUUAUGGAUGACUUUUCUGUCUUUGGUGACUCGUUUGAUCAAUGUUUACAUCAUCUAACGCUAGUUCUGCAGAGAUGUACCGAGAAGAACUUAGUCUUGAAUUGGGAGAAGUGCAAUUUUAUGGUAAAACAAGGUAUUGUUCUCGGUCACAUCAUUUCGAGCAAAGGUAUUGAGGUUGACAAAGCCAAGGUGGAUCUCAUUUCUAAUCUUCCUCCACCUAAAACAGUCAGAGAAGUAAGAUCUUUCCUUGGGCAUGCUGGUUUCUAUAGACGUUUCAUUAAAGAUUUUAGCAAAGUUUCUAGACCCUUAUGCAAUUUACUUGCUAAGGAUGUACCUUUUAUCUUUAAUGAUUCAUGUCUUAUGGCUUUUGAAAAAUUAAAGCAGUUGUUGACAUCAUCACCCAUCAUUCAGGCCCCAAACUGGAGCUUACCAUUUGAACUCAUGUGUGAUGCAUCUGAUUAUGCAGUAGGAGCAGUAUUAGGACAAAGAGUUGAUCGAAUUCCCCACGUUAUUUACUAUGCUAGUAUGACAUUGAAUGAUGCACAGUUGAAUUAUUCAACUACUGAAAAAGAAAUGCUAGCAGUAGUGUUUGCAUUAGAGAAAUUUCGAUCUUAUCUCAUUGGUUGUAAAAUAAUUAUAUUCACAGACCAUGCUGCUCUUAAAUAUCUUCUCACAAAGAAAGAUGCAAAAGCUAGACUAAUUCGUUGGGUGUUACUUUUGCAGGAAUUUGACUUGGAAUUCAAAGAUAAGAAAGGCACAGAGAAUGUUGUAGCUGACCAUCUCUCUCGCCUCCAUUUUGAUACAAUUAUGGAACCAUUACCAUUGAAUGAGUCAUUUCCAGAUGAACAAUUAAUGAAUGUGGAAGUAUUACCUUGGUAUGCUGAUAUAGUUAAUUAUCUUGUUACAGGUAAACUUCCAGAGCAUUGGACCAAGCAAGACAAGGCUAAAUUCUUUGCGGAAAUAAAGAAUUUCUUUUGGGAUGACCCGUAUUUGUUCAAGUAUUGUGCAGACCAAAUUGUUAGACGAUGUGUCCCUGAAAAUGAAAUUCAGAAUAUUCUUUCAUUCUGCCAUGCACAAGCGUGUGGAGGCCAUUUUAGUGCUAAGAAAACAGCUACAAAAGUUUUACAAUGUGGUUUCUAUUGGCCAACUAUAUUUCGAGAUGCUUACACUUUCUGUUCUUCAUGUGAUAGGUGUCAACGAAUGGGGAGCAUUACACGAAGAAACAUGAUGCCACUAAAUCCAAUUUUAGUGGUUGAGAUUUUUGACGUAUGGGGUAUCGACUUCAUGGGACCCUUUCCCCCUUCUUUUGGCCAUCAAUACAUAUUGGUUGCUGUUGACUACGUCUCGAAAUGGGUAGAAGCAAUUCCAUGUAGGACCAAUGAUCACAAAGUGGUGAUAGGAUUUUUGAAAAGCAACAUUGUUUCACGCUUUGGAUUCCCUCGAGCGAUAAUCAGUGAUGGUGGUGCCCACUUUUGUAACAAAGCAUUCAAAGCUCUUUUGACAAAGUAUUCAAUCACACACAAAGUGGCGACCCCGUAUCAUCCGCAAACCAGUGGCCAAGUUGAGAUCUCCAAUCGAGAAAUCAAGCACAUAUUAGAAAAAACGGUGAGGCCAGACAGGAAAGAUUGGUCAUUACGACUUGAUGAUGCAUUAUGGGCAUAUAGAACGGCUUUCAAGACCCCGAUUGGGAUGUCACCCUACAGGCUAGUGUAUGGAAAAGCUUGCCACCUACCUGUGGAACUCGAGCAUCGUGCAUAUUGGGCCAUCAAGAAAUUCAACUUUGACAUGCAGCAAGCCAGCUCAGAGAGAAGAUUACAACUGGCAGAACUUGAAGAAAUUCGCAAUGAUGCAUACGAAAAUGCCAAAAUUUACAAGCAGCGGAUGAAAGUCUUCCACGACAAGCACGUUAUGAGAAAAUCUUUCACUCCAGGUCAGAAAGUACUUUUAUUCAAUUCUCGCUUGCACCUAUUCCCAGGUAAGUUACGCUCUCGAUGGUCUGGUCCCUUUAUUGUUCAUACUGUUUUUCCACAUGGGGCAAUUGAAAUUAAAGACCCAAAGAACGGUGUCACGUUUAAAGUUAAUGGUCAAAGAUUAAAGCCAUAUCUAGAGUACCAACCACAUGAAGAAGACACCGAAAUAAAUUUGAGUGACCCACCAGAUUUGAAUUAAUUUUUUUUUCUCUUUUUAUUGAUUUGAUUUUUCUUUCUUUCUUUUUAUUAUUCUUUUGCUAAUUGAAAUUAUUUUUGCAUAAGUAUGUUUGUUUAACAAUUAAGUUUUCUCUUAUCAUUUUUAAUCAUGAGUCUCAUACUUAGACCGUUCCUCCUGAACAUUCUUAAAUCACUUCAACGUGUCAAAACUCAUCUCAAAAGGCAGAUUCUAUUUUGUAAAACACAACGCAUUUGGGCUCUACAACCACCAGAGUUAGUAGCCUAUGUUGAGGGUUUAGAACGCCAACUCAGAGACAUUGAGAGAAGUGUUUACGACAUCCAGUUGGAGCUUGAGGUAAAUUCAAUAAGAGGACGAUUUUAAUUUUCUUUGUGUGUUUUAAUUUGUUUUUCUGUUUGUGUGCUUUAGUUUGUUACCCCGGUGAAGUGGCGGAUAACGGUACUCCGUGACAAUCAAGUCGGUUAACUUCAGUUUCCCAUAAUAACUGAUAUUCUGAGGCGAAGGUAUGGAUAGAAACGAGAUUUUAGCAAAGCUUCACAAGCGAUUCCCUUCACUUCCUCAGAAUGCCCUCCUUACAAUCUAUAAAGCCCGGUCUGAACGCAUGCGAUUGCUCAUGAGGAAUAACAUACCUGCAGACAUCCGUUGGUUAAUCGAGGCUAAAGUACGAUUGGCAGGUGAGUUACCUCCUAAAUUUAUUGCAUACAUGCCUGGUUGUGGUAAAGGAAAUUACGCAAGAAAACGACGAGCUCGAAGAAUUUCUGUUGCUUGUCACAAGUGUGCCAGAAUGAGUUGCGAUAGAAACCCAUGUUCUUUAGGAAUGGUGUCUGAUAACAGGGAAGAUAAGAUUCAAUUCAUUAGGGAUGGCUUGAAUAAGGAGUCAUUGGAUGAUAUCCUUCUGUCUCUUGAAACGCAUCCCAGUGGAUAUGUGCAAGGAGCGAUUCUCCGGUUAUGGCCAUUAUUCCAGAAAGAGCAUGCACGAUAUAGUCUCGGGAAUCUGACUAUAAACGACCCUGUUUGUCAGUUUAUAAGAAAACUGGAUGGGAAGCCGAUCCUCGACCCAUAGAGGGCGUUCAAGCCGUUUCUGGACGUAAAACCAGAGGAAGAUGUGAGCCACAGUCGCAACUACCUGUAAAUAUCCUUUUACUUUAUUGUUAUUUUAUUUCACUAUUGUCUUAUUUUUGCAUUAUUGUCUUUAAUAAUUUUAUUACUGUUUGCUUUUUCCUUUUUUACUGUUUUCUUUUUGACUUGCGAGCCACGUGCUUUACGCGUUAUUUGACACUGACACAUUACCUCAUACACAACCAUGACCCACUAUCACCAAGACUCUUAAAUGUGAUAUCUUUUGUCAAGCACUCACAAAUUAUUUUUUUUGAGAAGUAUCACAAUGACAGCUACUCCAAAUAGACAAUUCAAGAACAUUUGUGUGCUUUCUGGAUUUACCUAUGGCAAACAUAAAGAGUUCGUGGAGGCAGCCAUAGAUCUUGGUCGAAGCAUAGCAGCGAGAAAAUUACACUUGGUGUAUGGAGGAGGUAACCGAGGGUUAUCAAAAAUGGUCUCAGAAGCAGCUUUUAUCAGAGGAAGUCAAGUGUUAGGCAUCAUCCCAAGAGUCCUAAAACCAUUGGGCAGUUCGUCUGACUCAUCAACUGGAGAAGAGUUAGUCGUCUCAGGUAUGCAAGAAAGAAUAACUGAAAUGCUUAAUCAUGCUGAUGCUUUUAUUUUCCUUCCAGGAGAUCUUGCAACACUAGAGGCACUUAUGACACUAGCAUCUUGGGCCCAUCUGCACAUCCACCAGAAACCCAUCGGUUUGUUAAAUGUCAAUAACUUUUAUGAUGGCUUUAUCGCAUUUCUUAACCAUGCAAUAAAAAACUAUUUCAUUCCUUCUAAUGUGAAAAAACUCUUUCUUUGUGCUCACACUGCUAAUGAGCUACUUGAUAUGUUACAAGCUUAUAAACCGGAGCCAGACCCCUGGACCUUUGUGUUGGAGCGACCAAAUAAUGAUGGUAACAGUAGCCGCAGUAAGAAGUACAAAUUAGAUUUAACUCUCCGCCUGUAAAUAUUUUCUUCUGUGUUGCACCACCCAGGUGAUGUCUUCUAAACUCUACUUCUUUCCUUUAAAACAUUGAGGACAAUGUUUCGUUCUGGUUGGGGGGAGGGAAUAGUCGACAAUUGUGGAAUCUUGGUUAAGUUUUUACUGAUUUUUUGUUGUAGAAACUAACUGUUGCUAACAUUUUAUGUUGAAGAUGGCUGAAUAUGGAGUGUAGUUACUCUAGAAACGCAUCUUCAUCGUUUAAAAAAAAAAAAAAAAAAAACAUGUUUUCUUCCUCUUUCUCCUUUAUAAAUAUGUAGUUUCAAAUUUUUGAGUCGAAGAUGGCUGAAUAUGGAGUGUAGUGCCUCUAGAAACGCAUCUUCUUAGUUUAAAAAAAAAAAAAAAAAAAAAAUUCUUUUUCUAAUUAAUUUUUCUACAUCAUUUUCACAUUUCUGCAUACAUAUUUUCCUUUCAUGUUUAGAAUAGGUUGGGGGGUAGAAUGUUGUUUAAAAUAUAUAUAUAUAUAUAUUUGUGUGAUUUGUUUUAACAUUGGAUGACAUGAUUAAUUUCAAAUUUUAGUAUUUGUAUUAUCUUUGGUCUUAAGUGAUGUUACGCUAUGUUUGCUACUUUACAUGUUGAUGUCGGAGACAAAUAUGAGUUGCUUGAAGGAAUGAACAUGUCAUAAAUAAGUGCCAAGUGAGUUGUUGAGCCUAUCAUUUUCUUGGAGAGUAACCCUUUUGCCCAUUCUCUAUACAGCUUAGCAGUUUAUUAUUUUAUACACGAUCUCUAGAUUUCUUUUAAGUUAACCCUUUAAAAAAAAAAAAUAUGGUAAAAUUAAAAAAAAAGAAAAAAAAAUGUGUGUUGCUACAUUGGGAGGCCCAUCUAACUAGUAGAUAUGGAUAAUUAUUUAGAGCCCUAAAAGACGAUGGAAAGGCCAUCUUUGAUCCGUUUGAGCCUUUCUAGCCAUCCCUUUUAUUAAAUAUCCAUAGUUACCCCUUUUGAGCCUUUAAAAAAAAAAAAAAAAAAAACAAAAACAUUUUCUUUGUCAACUUAUCAUCUUGACCCACUCCGAUUUGGAGUAUUACCCAAUGUCUUUUAAGUUCCAUCACCUAUUUAUGUUUGAGAAAAUGUAAAUAAUUAUGUUGUUCAGUGAAGUUAUGCCAAAUAAAAGCAAAAAAAAAAAAAAACAAAAACAAAAGUUGUUGUUUCAAAAGAAUAAAAAUAACAAUAAUAGGUGAAAUCCACCUUGCAAGUUCCAAAAAAAAAAAAAAAAAAAAUUCUUCAUUUUUCUCAAACAUACACUUUGUUUUCCUUAUUUCCUUUCUUUGUUAGCCAUAUCCCUAGCCUACGUUACGUCCUAAUAAAAGUCCUUCUUGAUUUUCGGGAACUAUAGUUUGAAGUAGAAGCUAGUUAUAUGGGCUAAAAAGAUGUAGUGAUGCAUAAUAAUAAAAAAAAAAAAAAAAAAAAGAUAAAUAAAGUGGGUUGACUAACAUUUUAUUUGACUUGAGAUCGUAUUAUUUCUAAGCUGAGGGCAUAUUUAUUUCAUCUUGGUGAGAGCAUGUGAUAUCAUUUCUUUAUUAUUUUCUCUCUCAAUUACCAUUCAUUGGAGUGACUAUGUUUAUUGGGUUUUAAUUUCUUUGUGAGAGUGUCACUACUUCCAGUGAGAUUUUGGGGUUUGACAUGUCAUUCUUGAAAGUAGCUAUAACAAAGUCUACUGGGCUAAUUCAUGUGGAUGGUUGAUGUGGGUGUGAUGUUGCUUUAGACUGGAGAUAAUGCUUAUACUUUUAUUUGAUUGCUAUCAUUAAUCUGAUUGAAUAAACACGAGUGUUUCUAAAAAAAAAAAAAAAAAAAAAAAAUCAUUUUGAAUUUGAAUUUUGUUUUCGCUUUAUUUGCUAGGGACUAGCAAUAAGCUGGUUGGGGGGUGUGUUGAGUGUUAGAAAAUACAUAUUUAUAAAGGAGAAAACCGUCAUUUUACAUUUCAAGUCUUACUAACAACCCUUACUUUUAUGUACUUAACCUUCUUGUGAUGUAAUUACGUGUGUGUUAUUUUAAUUAAGUAUUUUAUGUAUUUUAGGGGCAUUAUAGUCAUUUCACAAUAAAGGAGAGAUCAGACGGCAAAACGGACAUCACUUUUGAACUCAGGAUGGUCGAAAACCUUAGGAGGAGCAUAAAAGGAAAAAUGGCACUAUUCACAUGUACGGUACUAUUCACGUAUACGGUACUGUCUACGUUACUGUUCACGACACUGUUCACAUAGACGGAUCGAUGACGUGGCAUUGACCGAUGAUGUGGCAUUGACUGAUGAGGUGUCACGAUCCUGUUGGGCUAAAAUUCUUAUGUACUGUUGAUGGUGACGUGGCAGCAUAUCAGUGGACGAAAAAUCUCACGUACGGUGCAUGCAUCACACAGGAUUAUUUUCAACCAAACCGCGUUACUGUUCAUCCGGGUCAAACCGUGUUACUGUUCAUCCGCGUGGUCAAACCGUGGACUGUUGACUGAUGACGUGGCGCAAUCCUGAGCGUCCAAACUGUUUUUAAUCCGAUGGCCAUGAUUUACUCCAUGUAUCUAUAAAAAGGGGGCCUCCCCCCCCUAAUUUGAUAUCUCUGAAUCCAUUUUUGGGAUCCAUUUUCUGUAAUUCCUACUCCAUCUUGUAUUUUCUUUGUAUUUUAAUAAAUUCCCAUUUUGCCCCUAGUUCAAUUAUGAGUGGCUAAUUUUCUUUCAAGCUUGGGUUGAAGGUGAAGUCUCAACAUGUGUCAUGGGCUUUAUUUGGUAAAUUUAUUUUCUUUUCCCCUCUAGUUUUUGUGGAUGAUUUGACUUAUCGUCGACAAAUAAUACUGAUCUUGUCUAGAUACCGCCUUGGUUACACCGGCUCUCUAGUAUAAGGUUAUUAUUAUUUGGCACGAUAAGCCCUUAGCACCAUAUUGAUUAGAGCGUGGUUCAUGAGGUGUGGAUUCCCCCCUCAUGAUUUAAUUGGCAUUAAUACGGAUUAUUUAGCCCAUGAUGCAUGUUGAUACGGAUCCAGAUACCCAAGUACGUCAAUUUAAUAGAUUUUCUCUUCAAUUUAUUCUCUCCAUUGCAAUUCCAAUUUUAGAAUUUAUUCUCGCCAUUUUAAUUUAAGUAUUAGCAUAUUCCAAAUCAUUUCCACCAUAAAUCCAACUACCCAUUUACAAAAUUAAUUCUAUAUAUAAUUAAAAUCCACCUCCUCGUGGGAUCGACACUCGUCACCAUUAGUCUAUACUACAAUAGAUUCGUGCGCUUGCGAGUACAUUAAAAUUUGCACAACACAUAAUAUUAAAGGAUGAUAUUCAAUUGAACAUGAUUUAUGUUAUGAUAAUAAAUUAUCCUAUUUAUAUUCUUUGAGAUACUUAUUGUUGGUUUAACAUUUAUAAUUUGUAAGAGUACAAAUGUUUUUAUCUUUUCGUUUAAUUUAAAAAAUCUGAAUGAUAUCAUUAAACAAUAUUCUCGAAAAUAUUUUUAUCUAAUUAAUUAAUUUUCAUCUUUACCUAUGUAAAAUUUACUAAUUAGUAUUAUUACUUGUUGUCAAGAGAAAACAAGAAAGCAUGCACGUGAGUUGCGUGACAUAAGCAAGAUGCUAUGAAGAUAUGAGAAUAAGAAGCAUGAUAUAAGUAAAAUGUCACGAAGAUAUGUGAGCAAGAAAGCAUGCAUGUGAGAAGCAUAAUAUAAGCAAGAUGUCAUAACAAUAUGAGAGCAAGAAGUAUGACAUAAGUAAGAUGUUAUGAUGUAGGAAGUUAUUUUUCAUAUUUAAAGAUUCUAGAAUUUUAUUAUUUUAGGAUUUUCUAUUUUUAUUAGGGUCAAUUAAGGUAUGAGAUUUAAUUAACUUAGGAAACUAUCUUUUGUUUCCAUUAUAAUUGUGAUUUAUUUCCUCUUUUUAAGUUAACUUAGGAAAGUGAGUUUACUCUAUUAUAAAUAGAAAGGUCUUAUUAUUAUUUUCAAAACUUCAAAUUCAAUUAUUCAGUAAAACUCUCCUUUUAUAAUUUCUUCUGGAAUUAUCUAUCAAAAUCUCUCUUGUAGAAUCAUUUGGAUUAGAGCGUCAUCUAAUAUCGGGUUGCGCGUUAUUAAAAAUCUCAUUGAGUCAUUUAGAUUAGAACGAGAUCUAAUCACCCUUUGAUUAGAACGUAACCUAAUUGUGUUGGCUUGGUCCAAUACUACAAUGAUAUCUAGUAUUUUUAUCCAAUCAAUCCCGCUUUCGCUACACUCGCUCCAUCAUGUUAUGAAGAUGUGAGAGCGAGAAGCAUGCAUGUGAGCCGCCUCCUGCUCCUGAGCCUUCUGCUGUUCCCGUACAGCCAUCUGCCUCUAUGCCACCUCCAACUUCAGUUCAGCCUCCUACUUUAGAUGCCAUGCAGCAGCUGAUCACUGAUGUUCAGCGGAUCUCGGAGCGCCAGCAGCUGAUUCUUGAUCGGUUGGACACUCUUUCCCGUGACCACUAGCAACUGCGUUCUGACUUUCAGAUAUUCCAGCGGCAGAGCCUUGAUCAGCAGAUGGAGCUUAUCGCUGGACAGCGCACUAUUCUCGGCUAUUUCGGCUAUGAUCCGGGGAGCACAUCUUCUCCGCCUCCGUAGUUUCUGAGCUUUGUCUUCGCACAUACAUUUUACAUUUUGGUUGCUAGCAUUUUUAUUAUUAUUUUGAUUUUGAUGCAUAUGUGUGUGAUGUUCUUGAUGAUUAGAUUAUUGAUGCUUUGUGAUUGCCUAAUUGGUUGGAUAUUGUAAAUGUGGUUUAUUUGUGGAUAUUGGAGUGUUGGUAUGUUUGUGGUUCUUGAAGUGUUCUUUUGAUGUGUUUAUGGAGUUGUUGGCUUGUUGAAAGAAGAAGUUGAUGUUCAUAUAUCUUUGGAAGUGUUCUAUCUCAAUUUGUAUAAUUGGUUUUGAUCUUUUUUAAGGGGAAACUCUGCCAAAAUUUUCGCUCGCCAAAGCCGGGCAACUUCUUUCAUGGAUUUGCGUAUUUCUUAUUUCCUCUUUUCUUUUUGAUGAUGAAGGGAGAGAUAAUUAUGGUUUUUAAUAUAGUUUUUAAAUGGGGAGAUAUUUUUUUUAAGAUGGAUUUAAAAUGGGGCGAUUUAAAGCAAAAAUCCUUUUAUUCACAUUUCUCAAUUUGGCCAUACAUUUAGGGGGAGCACAUAUUAAGGGGGAGCUAAACUUUGAUUAGAAUUUGUCAUCAUCAAAAAGGGGGAGAUUGUUAACAUAAAUAUGUUAAUAAUAUUGAUUUUGAUGAUAACAAAUUUUAAAUGAUUUUUGAUAAAAGUAUUGGAGCUAUUUCUUAAUAAACGAGAGCCUUAGUAAUCAUUACAUUCAUGCUUAAUAAAAGAUGGACUUUAAAAUUAGAAAAAGAUUCUCUGCAAAAACUGGUUUAAAAUGCAAUUCUGGUUAUAAACGGUGAACCGUUUAUUUAAACGGUUAACCGAUAACAGCCAGAGAGCUACAUAUUUCCUAAACCUCUAACCGUUUAUGAAAAACGGAAAACACAAAAGACGGGAAGGUUACUGAAACUUAACGGUGAACCGUUUAUUUUAAACGGUUAACCGAUAACAGCCAGAGAGCAACAUAUUUCCUAAACCUCUAACCGUUUAUGAAAAAAGGAAAACACAAAAGAUGGGAAGGUUACUGGAACUUAACGGUGAACCGUUUAUUUUAAACGGUUAACCGAUUAACACCAGAGAGCGACAUAAUGUCUAAAGCUCUAACCGUUUAUGAAAAACGGAAAUCACCAAGAAUGGAAAGGCUACUGGAACUUAACGGUGAACCGUUUACUUUAAACGGUUAACCGAUAAUGUCCAGAAUUGAAGGUUGUCCUCCUCUGGCACUGAUUAACGAAAACUGAUAAGGCUAAAUUGUUUUGCAGGUUACUGGAGACAAACGGCGAACCGUUUAUAUCAAACGGUUAACCGAUAAUGUCCAGAGAAGCCACUUCACGCAAGUCCUUAACCGUUUAGCAUAAACGGAUAACAAAUACUCAUCUUGCAGGUCUCUGGAAGUUAACGGCGAAAGGGCAAACCUAAACGGAAAACCGUUUAUUUGAAAUCUGGCCCAACGGUAACUUUGACCAGCCUAAACGGUUAACCGUUUAUGGUUAACGGCGAACCGUUUUCUGUCCGACAGUUUGUAACGGCUAGAUUUUCGGCUCCAAAUAUAAAUAAGCUCAUUCAAAUUCAAAGAAGAUUGAUCACAACACGACCAUUUGAGCUAAUAUUCGAGAAUACAAUCUUCAUAGAGCUUAGAACACAUUCUUGCUUCAUCUAUUCACAUAUUAAGCAUCAUUGUGUAAUCUUAUAUAUUGUGAGAGGCAAAACAAUUUGUAAUCUUUUAUUUUGAGUGAUUGUAAGUGUUGGGAUACACUUGGGUUAAGAGAUUGGGGAUAAUCUCUUGUUGUAAAGGUUCAUUGACACCUUGGAAGUCAAGUGUAAGCAUUUGAAGCCUUGGAGGCUUGCUUAGUGGAAUCCUCAAGCCCGGAAAGCUUGGAGGCGUGAACGUAGGCAAGGUUGGCCGAACCACGUAAAAAUCUCGGUGUUUGAAUCCCUCUUCCCUUAUCUUUUUAUAUUGUGAUUCUCUUAAUUGUUAUUGCUUUGAAUUUGAUUUAUAAUUGCAUUAAGAUUUUCUUUAAUAAAUUGAAUAAUUUUUUAGAAUCCCAAUUCACCCCCCCUCUUGGGUUGCAUACUUGUAUUUCAGUUCAUGUAACCAUAUAGUCACCAAAAUAAUCUGCACUACCUAAUUUUUGAAACUUGUAUCAUCAAAACACUUUUUCCAAAAAAUCGAGAGAACCUCCCAUCGGCUAAAUGAAAAACUUAAUUUGAGUUUCAUUCUGCUGUGAAGAACAAAAAGUCCAAAGAAAAACUUUAUUUGACCUUUUUGUUAUUCAAUAAAUAAAAAUGACAAACAAUGUCUUUAACUAACAAACAUAAAAGAAGCUGUCCUGGCACCGUAUUACCCGACUCCUUAUUAAUCAAUCCAAAAUAAAAAUACAAGAGCCAUAGGGGCUAGCCAGACGCAAGGCUAGAGUUCAACACUCCAUGCCAAGCUAGUGUCCAAAUCUGCAAGCCAAUCUAUCUUCUCCCAAAUGUCCUCACCGUUAAAAAUGGACCUUUUGACGUUGUUUACACCAUUAGAUGUAUACUCAACCACAACUUGCUCUAUGCACUGCCGCCAGCAUGAGAUGGGACGGGAUUUGCAGCAUUGAGCAACCCCUCCUUCAUAUACUGCCUGCUUCUUAUAAGAAAACUCAAACUGAAACAAAAGGACAAGGCUGUUAUAAGCAAAGCAGCGUUUGUUACAAGCACGCAAAACAAAGGCAUAAACGUAAAAUGGACCAACAUAAGUACCAGCAUUACAUGUGUAUCAUAAUCACAUAAUUCUCACAGUAUAAACCAAGAACUAAUUCAGACCAAUGCAAAAUCUUCAGUACCUUAAAAGAGAACCAGUUCGAGUAAAAUGAUUUGAUUGUAACAGUCCUUAAAUGAGGUGAAAUCCAGAGCAAACCAUCGAUAGUGUUUUUAAUUGCGACUCGCACACGGGUUCCAUUUAUUACAAAGUCCAGGUUGUUGUAACCAUAGAAUGGGGAAGAUCGGAUUUGCCUCAAGUCUUCUGGAAUAUCCGCAUUCUGCACAAAAGAAUUUGAAUAAUAUAUAAGAAAUAAAAAAGUAUGUAAAAUAGUAAACAGCUCGAUAUUUAAAUGUAUACAUAUAGCAUGCAAGAAGUGACAUACCUCACCCUUGUAACUUUCCAAAUUCACUGCUUUGGAAACAUUAUGGAACAUUGCAAGGAGUCCAAUAUACUCAGAAUACCAGUCAAUGUCGCUGUUAUUCUUGUUGAAACUGAGAUGAGUUUCCAACAAAGUCAUAGCACCUAUAGAGAAGGAUACCACAUCACCUUGAUAUCUGAAAAUACUUAAAUUAGGAGCCUCAAUCUUGACUUCAAUCAACCCUGCACAUUCAAAGAUCUUCAGCAUCUUAAGACUGAGACUUGAAAUCUUAAUACUCUUCAACUUGUCACAACCAACCAAAUUCAAAUUCUCGAGGAAUGAAAAGUUAGGAAUUUGGCUACAAAGCCACUCAUCCUUCAGAGAAAGCAGGCGCAGAGUUAAAAAUUUAAUAUUCUUACAGGAGGCUACAUUGAUCUCGCAUGGUAAGCUUAAUUGAAUGCUAACUGUCUUCACAUUCAGAGUUUGGAUAGAAAGCCAUAGAACUUCCAGACAGUUACGGACCUUGAAUUCAUUGAGUUUGGUAAGACCAGAUAGAUCUAGAGUAUUAAAGCCAAGGCAGUUAACCAGACUUAGAUGUUCAAUCAAAGGACAGCCAUCAACUAGGCUCUCAAGGACUAGAUCGGCAGCAUAAACGCUUGUGAGACAUAAUUUUUUCAAAGAAGAUAACUUCACACUUCUCAGAGACUGCAGCUUACAACAACUUAAGGCUAACACUUGUAUUGAUUUUGAGCAUAAAACCUCUUGAGGCAAAUUGUAGCAGCGCUUGUUAUGAGCGUCAACUGAGGGCAUUCCUGGUCUAGUAUCAACAACACGUGCACUAGUAUGAAAUGGAAGUGCGAGUUUCAGCUCUUUGACAUCACUUUCUAAUGCAGAGAAGAUACACCGGUCUACAAAUGGUCCGGGUUCUUUUACCCGUAAUUCAUACAAGUCAAGUGUGAACUUGUCUAACCUUAUCAUCUCCCUGCGGCGGGUGCGCAGAGUUCCCUCUACAUAAUUUAAUGCCCUGCUUAACUUCUCAUCUCCAAGUUGAGCUUCAAUUUUGUUGUUGCAAGAAACCGAAGGAACUUGAUUAAAGAAAGUUUUAUCAAAUUCCAAAAUUGGGAAUGUACGCCAGGCUCGUUCCCAUGCUUGCGACAAAACAGUUGUUUGAACUACUUGUUUAAAUGAGAGGAAUGACAAAAUACAAUGCAGUAUUGGUUCCGGCAAAUUAGAUAUCCUGUCCAUGCUGCUAAGCACCUCCUCCAUAAUAACAAUAUCAUCACCAGAUUCCCUGAAUCAGUAGCAACAUCUUCCUUCUAAGUAUGCUAAUUAAAUUGAGACAACUGAGUACUAAUAAUAAUAAGAAUAUUGGCUGGAUUCUAUCAAUUUAAUUCAAUGUAAUAAAGAAAAUAAAUAAUCCUAACAAAAACUCUUUUGAAUUGAACAUGCUUAAUUUCUUUUUUGUACGAGAAGAGACACUGAAACUUUCACUUUCACCGGAAAAAGAAAAAUCAGCCUAAAACAGAACUGAAUUAUUUAUAAAAGAAAAGAAAGGAAAAGAAAAGAAAAAGAGACACGUUAACACAGAACCAAUAUGGAUGAGGAUGAUAAAAUACCUAUUCAUCCGAUCGAUCAAUCGUGACAGUCCAACAGCGACAGCGACGGCAACCGAAACAGCAGAACUGUCAAGAAAGGAUUGAUCUGCUUUAACUAUGUUUUGUAUAGGCUUAAUUUUGAGGAUUCCGAAUCCAAAACAGACAAAGUCACAACAGCAAAAUUAUGUAGGCUCAGUCUGCUCCGUGUAUAUAUAUUUUGAAAAUUCCAAAUCCAAAUCGGACACGUCCUUCUGCUUCUCCUAACGCGAAUCGGACAUGCGGCUAGUCGCUACGCAACAGUAAUUAAGCUUUUUGGAGAUAAGAGUGGUUUCGUUUCCAUCCAUUUUAUGUACUUCCAUCUGUUAGUUGAAGAACUAGUUUGUUACAAAGUACGCAAAUCUAACCCUGACAACUUCGGAUGACGCAAUCUUUUGUCAUCAAAUAGGCUUUUGAGUCUCGACUCUUGACACCCCCUUUAAAUUUCCGAACUGCUUAAAUAAUCGAGGUAAUUUAUGAAUAAUGAUAAAUAUUUUAAAAAUUUUAUCCCAAAGAAAUUCAAGUAAAUAUUUAAAUAUUAUUAUUCCUUGAAAAAAAAUUUAACACUAUCUUAUUUCAUAAUUUGUAUUAUUCUUUAAAUUUUAAUUAAAGAUAUGUUCUUUAUUGAUGCGAGAUUCUGGUUACCCUCUCGACCACGAUUAGGAUCUCUGCUCAAUCAACUCGACCACGAUCAGGAUCUCUCCUCGUAUGACUUCUUCUCCAAAAAUUCAUGCGUACAAAGAAAUAAGUCAGAGCACGCCGAUUGUUUUCUCGGCCUAAACCCUCUGACGCCCAAGUCAAAAAUGAAGGUUUUGUCUUCCUGGGAACGUUAGCUACUAAUUUUAUGGCUUAUUUUUGGUAUCGAUUACUCAAUGCUCUCUUUAUCUCAGUUUCAAUGUCAAAAAUUAUAACAAUUUUACCUUCGUUGACUACCUUUUUAUAGGCUUCUCCUGAAUUCAGACCUUCCCUCCAUUCACGCCCGUUAUCCUCCCACCUCUCGAAAGUGAAUGCUCCGUUUCUGUAAUCGUGGAUGGUUGCAUGACCUUCGUGCCUUGAUUCUCGGAUUGGAGAGCACGUCUCGCCAACUCUCGUUGACCGGGUCUCCUCGCCUCAACCCUUAGCAGGAAUGGCUUUAUACUUCUAACAGAAGACCGCCCUCGCGGAUGGCGUAUUCGUGGACGAGCGGAAUAUUCCUGCUCCUGUUCCCCUGCUACUAGACUCUUACAAGAUAUACCUGUUCGUGGAACCCUACUACCAGAUGUCUGCUAAACCCAGCUGGUCUCGUUGAAGUACAUCCCCAAAUAUUCUUGAGAAAAGUACAAAAAUUUAAAGUAAUGAAGAUAAAAAUUAUAUAUUAAGAAAAAAUAAUUUAAGAUUUUAAUAUUUUAAUAUAUUUUAUAAAUACAGCACAACCGCAACAUUCUCUCUCCCAAAAUUUUUGUUGAUAAAUAAUUUUAAAUCAACAAUCCGUAAAUAAAAACUAAAGUAAAACUAAAAUGUAAUUAAAAUCUAAACAAGUUUUGCAAUAACUCGAUUAGUUUUGAAGUCAAAAUUCCAUAUUUGAAAAUACUCUGAAUAGUUAUCGAUUAUAGUUGAUUGUCAUGGUCAAGAAAAUUCUAAGAACUCAAAGGCAAUCAAAGCCGUGGCUAGCUAUGGAUACCAAACCCAUGGCUGCUUAAAAAUCGAUAAUUAACAAAAAAUUGUUAAAAAAGAGACAUUUUUAUUCUUUAGUAAGUCAACUACGGUCAAUUGUUAAAGUUAGUUAUUUUUAAAGUAAUUUGAAUUUUCAAAUAUAAAGAUAAUCAAUUCACAGGGGUGGGGUAAUCUGAGACUUACCCAAUUAUGUAUAUUGAAUAGAUCGUAUGGUCGAAAUUUAUAUAACUUUUUACAUUUUAUUUCUUAUGUUUUACAUAUACAUGAGGAACUUAAUUAUAACCCAGAUUGCUUACAUGAUUAACACAUAAUUAUUUGUAAUCUACGCAUAUUAUGCCCAAAAAAUUUCAAUUUUAAUUUUGAUGAGUAAGUAAUACACAGAAACUUGUCUGCAAAAGGUAUAUAUCAAAUAGAAAUAGACCACUCCAUUGAAAUUAGCUUUUGAAUUAUCUUGAAAAUUGAAAGGCCAUUCAUAGAUUUAGUGCUCUUUUACUUUUGCUGUAUUCAGAAUUUGUCAGCUUCUCUCAUAAAUUAUCCACAAGAUUAAUUAACACUCCUGAAAGUGUUUUCCUGAAAAUGAUCUUAACUGAAUGAAUAUGGCAAUAUGAAAAGAUGCAAUUGAAUUUCCAGUUAACAAAAAGCAUAGUAGGAUUCACUUAAUAGCCUACAAUGGUAAGAAUUAAUGGCCACAGUGAUUGAUUUCUUCGAAAGCAUAUGACAGACAUACUUCCAAAUCUUGACUGCAAAUCACAAUAGCCUAACAAGUCUAUUGCAAAUCAUGAACAAAUCCACUUUAACAAAAGGGUGUUUGAAACCUGAUCUUCCAAACAGAGAAAUAAUAAUGUCGAGCAAAGGUGCCCACCUACAAUUGUCUUAUUGUAGAAUGCACAAUGAUCCAUUUUGCUGAUUCUGGAUUUGUUUCUUUCAAUCUCUUAUUAUUCAACAUUUAAUGAUAUUCAGCUCACUAUUUUACGUAAACUUUUUUACCACAUUGUUCCACUUUUUGUUACUUUUGUGGUUUGUCGUGUCGUGUAAUUACUAUUAACUAGUCAAAGGGCCUGCCAUAGCUAGAUGCAUGCGUUGAAAUUCUGGCUGCGCAUAUGUGCUGUGAAAGCUACACGAGAUUUGUUGGGUUGCGCGCCACUGCCAUGUGAACUAAAUCACAAUGGAAAACUUGUGUGAAAAACGAUUGCCUCUGCUCUCUGUUUAAACGAAUUUACUAUAGUUAAUCAUAUGUUGUUGUCUUGUUGAUUCUAAUGUGGGUCUUUAUUUAUUAUUUAAGUUUUUGAAUCAGUCCUCUUGGCGCAGCUCAUUUGGCAGUAAAUAUGCUUUUUGUCCAUGAUAACAUUGAGUUUAAGUAAUAAUAGAGAGGUUAGUAGUUGGUGUUUAGUGGGUGCUAUUUAUUUUUUCAUCUGGUCGGUUAAACUAUUAUAUAAGUCUUUUUUUUUUAAUUUCAUGAAAAUUUUUAGUUACUAAUCAUUAAGUUAUUAAGUCAAUUUCUUUUAUCUUUUUGUUUAAUUUAAAAAUCUAAAUGAUUAAAUAUUUGAGAAUGCAGCUGCGUUAUAUAUUUGUUAGUAGAAUAAGUAUAUCAAUAAGUUAAGUUAUUAAGUCAUUUUUUUAACUGUUCUAGCUUAACCAAGGUUUUCAGAUCGAGACUUGGGAAUACAACUGCUUUAAAUACUUAUUGGGAGAGCUUUGUCGCCUUAGUAGUCAUACUCAGCUCAAAUCUGGAUUAGUCGGGGCCUAAUACAGUCUUCAUAUACUAGAUAGUUUAAUAUACCAAAAAAAAAUCUAAAUGAUAUCAUUAAAACAUAUUCUCUAAAAUAUUUCUAUAUAAUUAAUUAAUUUUCAUACUUACCUAAAUAAAAUCUAUUAAUUAGUAUUAUUACCCAUCUUCUUGUGAUAAUAUAAAGGUAGGAUAUUAUUAUUUUUAUCUUUUAUUUUCUUCAAAUUAGCACUAUUUAUCUUUAUAAUUUUUUCUGAAUAUUUUUCCAAGAAAAUAUCAUAAAUUACAAUAAAAUUGAUUAGCAUAUACUAAUGCAUAAUAUUAAAGGAUGAUAUUCAAUUGAACAUGAUUUAUGUUAUGAUAAUAAAUUAUCCUAUUUAUAUUCUUUGAGAUACUUAUUGUUGGUUUAACAUUUAUAAUUUGUAAGAGUACAAAUGUUUUUAUCUUUUCGUUUAAUUUAAAAAAUCUGAAUGAUAUCAUUAAACAAUAUUCUCGAAAAUAUUUUUAUCUAAUUAAUUAAUUUUCAUCUUUACCUAUGUAAAAUUUACUAAUUAGUAUUAUUACUUGUUGUCAAGAGAAAACAAGAAAGCAUGCACGUGAGUUGCGUGACAUAAGCAAGAUGCUAUGAAGAUAUGAGAAUAAGAAGCAUGAUAUAAGUAAAAUGUCACGAAGAUAUGUGAGCAAGAAAGCAUGCAUGUGAGAAGCAUAAUAUAAGCAAGAUGUCAUAACAAUAUGAGAGCAAGAAGUAUGACAUAAGUAAGAUGUUAUGAUGUAGGAAGUUAUUUUUCAUAUUUAAAGAUUCUAGAAUUUUAUUAUUUUAGGAUUUUCUAUUUUUAUUAGGGUCAAUUAAGGUAUGAGAUUUAAUUAACUUAGGAAACUAUCUUUUGUUUCCAUUAUAAUUGUGAUUUAUUUCCUCUUUUUAAGUUAACUUAGGAAAGUGAGUUUACUCUAUUAUAAAUAGAAAGGUCUUAUUAUUAUUUUCAAAACUUCAAAUUCAAUUAUUCAGUAAAACUCUCCUUUUAUAAUUUCUUCUGGAAUUAUCUAUCAAAAUCUCUCUUGUAGAAUCAUUUGGAUUAGAGUGUCAUUUAAUAUCGGGUUGCGCGUUAUUAAAAAUCUCAUUGAGUCAUUUAGAUUAGAACGAGAUCUAAUCACCCUUCGAUUAGAACGUAACCUAAUUGUGUUGGCUUGGUCCAUUACUACAAUUAUAUCUAGUAUUUUAAUCCAAUCAAUCCCGCUUUCGCUACACUCGCUCCAUCAUGUUAUGAAGAUGUGAGAGCGAGAAGCAUGCAUGUGAGCUGCGUGACAUGAAUAGGAUAUCAUGAAGAUAUGUGAUUGAAAGAAUGAGGACAUUACGUAAGCAUGCGGUCAUGAAGUCAAAGUCAUUGCAAUUGCAAAGGAAGAAUCCAGAACCCGCUAUUUAAACCCAAAAGAAAAAUUUAGAAGUUUUAGAAACCCAAUUUAAGAAGAAGAUAAAUAUAGAUUUAAGAUAAAACUCUAAUUAACUUGUAAAAGCUGAUUAGAACAAGAAGUUAUCAACGACUUAGGGCACCUAAAAUUAUAUUAUAAAUAGAGGGUUCUUCAUGCAUAGAAGACAAAAGCAAGAGUUAAGUCGGAAAAAAAAAGGAAGAAUUUUUUUUAAUUCUCAUAAGGGUUAGUUUGUGAGUGCUGUACCUUUUAAAAUAAUUGAUGUUAGCUGUGUUGUAUAAAUAAUCAGCUGUGAAGCGAAUCAGUUAAGUGUUUGGUAAAUUUUGUUUUUAGAAGUACUGUGAGUUUUGAAAGCAGUUAUGAACGUUGGGUAACUUUUACUGUUAAAUUGUUGAGAAAAAAAUAAAUGGCUAAAAUGUACAUAAUGCAUGAUAAAAUUUACUUAUGCAUAUAAAAAUAUGUACAUAUAAUAUUUUUAUAUGUGUAUUAUAAUAAUUUUUAUUAAAAAUAGAAUUUAUAAUAUAUUGAUUUUAUUUUUUAUUAUCUUAAAACAAUCGAUAAUUAAAUUUAUAAUAUAGUAAAACAAAUUUAAUAAUAAUUCAACCAACAAAUUGAAAUUAAUAAAUUUAUAUUGAUAAAUUAUAAUAAAAAUUUAUUAAAAUAUUGAUUUUAUUUCCAAUUUGAAUAAAGAUAAAAAUAAUUUUGGGUUUAAGUAAUAAUUUUAAGGAUAUUUAUGGAAUUAGAUUAAAGGAUAAAAUUCAUUCUCAAAAUUAGAAUCUAAAAGCUACUUUUUCCUUGCUUUUUAAAAUUAGUUGUAGGAGGGACUGAUUUUGAUGAAAGUAAUUUUGAUUUUUUUUUUACCAAAUACUAAAAUUAACUUUUAGAUUUUCAAAAUCCCUUUUAAGCUUCCUAAAAGUAAUUCCAAACGGGCCGUAAAUGGUGAAAGUUGCUCUUUUUAUUCCCAUGAACGUAGGUUAAGCAUUGAACUACGUAAAUUCUCUAUGUUUUAUUUUUUUUUAUAUCGUCUUGUUUGUGUAAUUUUUCAAUUGACCAAAAAUCGGCAUUGGCAUUAUCUAUCCCUAUAACCUGUGAUAAUAUAGUGGUAAGACUAGUAGUAAGUUAAUUUCAAUCAACUAAAGCUAUUAAGUCCUCCUUUUUUCAACUUAAUGAAAAUUUACAGUUAUUAAUGAUUAAGUUAUUAAGCAAACUUUCUUAAGUUUUUGUUUAAUCUAAAAAGUCUAAAUGAUGUUAUUAAAAUAUAUUUUCUAAAAUAUCCCCGUAUAACUAAUUAAUUUUUAUCCUUACCUAGUUUUAUUACCCAUCUCAAUAACUUGUGAUAAUAUAGUGGUGAGACUACUAUUAUUUUCUUCAAAUUUACAUUAUUUAUCUUUAUAACUUUAUAUGAAUAUUUUUUGUCUAAAAACAUCAUAAACUAGAACAAAAUUGAUUAAACAUAUAUUGUAUUCAAUUGAACAUGAAUAAUGUUAUGAUAAUAUAUUAUUUUAUUUAUAAUCUUUGAGAUAUUUAUUAUUUGUUUAACAUUUAUAAUUUACAAGGGCACACAUGUAAAAAUACUAAUUUUCAUAUUUUUUAAGUUAAAAAAAUUUAAUACUUAUUUCUAACGAUUCAUAUAAAAGAAACAUUUAGAUUUAUACAUUCAAUUUUUUUAUUGCUAUCCCCAUCCAAAUAUUAUAUAUAUAGAGAGAGAGAGAGAGUCUGUCACCUCUCAACAAAACCAAUCUUGUUCACACGGCGCAUGAUGGAGUUGUAGCUCUCUUCUCAUCAUACGUUUAAACACUGUCAAUUUUAAUUCAUUCGUACUCCUCUUUUGUUUUCAAAUGAAUGUAUAUCUUGCAAAGAGCUGUAUAUAGCAUCUCUAAUUAUGAAUAACCCCAUGCAAGCUAGCUCACAACAGAAAAUUAGAAACUUAUUAUACAAAUUACUCAUAUAAUUAACAAAAAGAAAAAUGUACUUAUUUACAGGACACUACAACAAAAUCAGUUUUUAUUCCGGAUGUCGUAAUUAAGUCCUAAUUAAAAUUUGAAACAAAAUCUUCGUUCAUAAGUAUAUAUAUAUAUAUAUAUAUAUAUAUGGUUGGCUUUUAGCAGUUAUUUAUGUCAAGAUCGCUUUAGAUCAAAAUUUUAACAAAAUAUAAGCGUUUGAAUGAGACAACUUUUACACCAUAAGAAAUAAGUCUAAAUAACAUAUGCCAGCAACACAAACUAAUUUACACCAUCCUUGUUGUCCCAAAUACGUUCCUUUCUACUUUAAAAGAUGCUAGUGCUAAAUCUGCAACUUUGCAAGAUUCAUUUUCAUAACAGCAUGAACCAAGAAGUUUAAUAAGACUCCAAAACUGUACAACAAACUUGGUGAUCACAAGCUUCCUUAAUUCUUAUUAACAAACUCAUUAACGAAUGUGACUGAACAAUAAUUUUUUAGCCCUGUGAUCACGCCAACAACUUUAAACCUUAGAAUAUGCAUCUCAUCAUAGUAUCUGCACUACCUAACUUUUGAAACUUGCAUCAGAUAGCCAUCAUUAUAUUAAGCCACCAAAAAAUUUCACAUCACCUAGUUUCUACCACCACCUAUCUUUUAUAAGAAGUUCAUGUAACCAUAUAGUCACCAAAAUAAUCUGCACUACCUAAUUUUUGAAACUUGUAUCAUCAAAACACUUUUUCCAAAAAAUCGGGAGAACCUCCCAUCGGCUAAAUGAAAAACUUAAUUUGAGUUUCAUUCUGCUCUGAAGAACAAAAAGUCCAAAGAAAAACUUUAUUUGACCUUUUUGUUAUUCAAUAAAUAAAAAUGACAAACAAUGUCUUCAACUAACAAACAUAAAAGAAGCUGUCCUGGCACCGUAUUACCCGACUCCUUAUUAAUCAAUCCAAAAUAAAAAUACAAGAGCCAUAGGGGCUAGCCAGACGCAAGGCUAGAGUUCAACACUCCAUGCCAAGCUAGUGUCCAAAUCUGCAAGCCAAUCUAUCUUCUCCCAAAUGUCCUCACCGUUAAAAAUGUACCUUUUGACGUUGUUUACACAAUUAGAUGUAUACUCAACCACAACUUCCUCUAUGCACUGCCGCCAGCAUGAGAUGGGACGGGAUUUGCAGCAUUGAGCAAUCCCUCCUUCAUAUACUGCCUGCUUCUUAUAAGAAAACUCAAACUGAAACAAAAGGACAAGGCACUUAUAAGCAAAGCAGCGUUUGUUACAAGCACGCAAAACAAAGGCAUAAACGUAAAAUGGACCAACUUAAGUACCAGCAUUACAUGUGUAUCAUAAUCACAUAAUUCUCACAGUAUAAACCAAGAACUAAUUCAGACCAAUGCAAAAUCUUCAGUACCUUAAAAGAGAACCAGUUCAAGUAAAAUGAUUUGAUUGUAACAGUCCUUAAAUGAGGUGAAAUCCAGAGCAAACCAUCGAUAGUGUUUUUAAUUGCGACUCGCACACGGGUUCCAGUUAUUACAAAGUCCAGGUUGUUGUAACCAUAGAAUGGGGAAGAUUGGAUUUGCCUCAAGUCUUCUGGAAUAUCCGCAUUCUGCACAAAAGAAUUUGAAUAAUAUAUAAGAAAUAAAAAAGUAUGUAAAAUAGUAAACAGCUCGAUAUUUAAAUGUAUACAUAUAGAAUGCAAGAAGUGACAUACCUCACCCUUGUAACUUUCCAAAUUCACCCCUUUGGAAACAUUAUGGAACAUUGCAAGGAGUCCAAUAUACUCAGAAUACCAGUCAAUGUCGCUGUUAUUCUUGUCGAAAUUGAGAUGAGUUUCCAACAAAGUCAUAGCACCUAUAGAGAAGGAUACCACAUCACCUUCAUAUCUGAAAAUACUUAAAUUAGGAGCCUCAAUCUUGACUUCAAUCAACCCUGCACAUUCAAAGAUCUUCAGCGUCUUAAGACUGAGACUUGAAAUCUUAAUACUCUUCAACUUGUCACAACCAACCAAAUUCAAAUUCUCGAGGAAUGGAAAGUUAGGAAUUUGGCUACAAAGCCACUCAUCCUUCAGAGAAAGCAGGCGCAGAGUUAAAAAUUUAAUAUUCUUACAGGAGGCUACAUUGAUCUCGCAUGGUAAGCUUAAUUGAAUGCUAACUGUCUUCACAUUCAGAGCUUGGAUAGAAAGCCAUAGAACUUCCAGACAGUUACGAACCUUGAAUUCAUUGAGUUUGGUAAGACCAGAUAGAUCUAGAGUAUUAAAGCCAAGGCAGUUAACCAGACUUAGAUGUUCAAUCAAAGGACAGCCAUCAACUAGGCUCUCAAGGACUAGAUCGGCAGCAUAAACGCUUGUGAGACAUAAUUUUUUCAAAGAAGAUAACUUCACACUUCUCAGAGACUGCAGCUUACAACAACUUAAGGCUAACACUUGUAUUGAUUUUGAGCAUAAAACCUCUUGAGGCAAAUUGUAGCAGCGCUUGUUACGAGCGUCAACUGAAGGCAUUCCUGGUCUAGUAUCAACAACACGUGCACUAGUAUGAAAUGGAAGUGCGAGUUUCAGCUCUUUGACAUCACUUUCUAAUGCAGAGAAGAUACACCGGUCUACAAAUGGUCCGAGUUCUUUUACCCGUAAUUCAUACAAGUCAAGUGUGAACUUGUCUAACCUUAUCAUCUCCCUGCGGCGGGUGCGCAGAGUUCCCUCUACAUAAUUUAAUGCCCUGCUUAACUUCUCAUCUCCAAGUUGAGCUUCAAUUUUGUUGUUGCAAGAAACCGAAGGAACUUGAUUAAAGAAAGUUUUACCAAAUUCCAAAAUUGGGAAUGUACGCCAGGCUCGUUCCCAUGCUUGCGACAAAACAGUUGUUUGAACUACUUGUUUAAAUGAGAGGAAUGACAAAAUACAAUGCAGUAUUGGUUCCGGCAAAUUAGAUAUCCUGUCCAUGCUGCUAAGCACCUCCUCCAUAAUAACAAUAUCAUCACCAGAUUCCCUGAAUCAGUAGCAACAUCUUCCUUCUAAGUAUGCUAAUUAAAUUGAGACAACUGAGUACUAAUAAUAAUAAGAAUAUUGGCUGGAUUCUAUCAAUUUAAUUCAAUGUAAUAAAGAAAAUAAAUAAUCCUAACAAAAACUCUUUUGAAUUGAACAUGUUUAAUUUCUUUUUUGUACGAGAAGAGACACUGAAACUUUCACUUUCACCGGAAAAAGAAAAAUCAGCCUAAAACAGAACUGAAUUAUUUAUAAAAGAAAAGAAAGGAAAAGAAAAGAAAAAGAGACACGUUAACACAGAACCAAUAUGGAUGAGGAUGAUAAAAUACCUAUUCAUCCGAUCGAUCAAUCGUGACAGUCCAACAGCGACAGCGACGGCAACCGAAACAGCAGAACUGUCAAGAAAGGAUUGAUCUGCUUUAACUAUGUUUUGUAUAGGCUUAAUUUUGAGGAUUCCGAAUCCAAAACAGACAAAGUCACAACAGCAAAAUUAUGUAGGCUCAGUCUGCCCCGUGUAUAUAUAUUUUGAAAAUUCCAAAUCCAAAUCGGACACGUCCUUCUGCUUCUCCUAACGCGAAUCGGACAUGCGGCUAGUCGCUACGCAACAGUAAUUAAGCUUUUUGGAGAUAAGAGUGGUUUCGUUUCCAUCCAUUUUAUGUACUUCCAUCUGUUAGUUGAAGAACUAGUUUGUUACAAAGUACGCAAAUCUAACCCUGACAACUUCGGAUGACGCAAUCUUUUGUCAUCAAAUAGGCUUUUGAGUCUUGACUCUUGACACCCCCUUCAAAAUUCCGAACUGCUUAAAUAAUCGAAGUAAUUUAUGAAUAAUGAUAAAUAUUUUAAAAAUUUUAUCCCAAAGAAAUUCAAGUAAAUAUUUAAAUAUUAUUAUUCCUUGAAAAAAAAUUUAACACUAUCUUAUUUCAUAAUUUGUAUUAUUCUUUAAAUUUUAAUUAAAGAUAUGUUCUUGAGAAGAGUACAAAAAUUUAAAGUAAUGGAGAUAAAAAUUAUAUAUUAAGAAAAAAUAAUUUAAGAUUUUUAUAUUUUAUAAAUAAAAAUUUUAGCAUAUAAUUUUGUAUUACAUAAGUUAAUUUUAAUAUAUACAUUUGUAUUUUAUAAAUGAAAUAAAUAAAAUUUAGGAGAGAUGUUAUAAAAAUUUUAAGGGUGAGGCUAUCAUAAGUGUUGACAUUUAAUUUCGGACAGUUUGACUCAAUAAAAUAUUCAAUUACCCCAAUUUCUCGUGACUCCCAUCAAACAAAGAUUUAAAUUUAUAGUUUUCCCUUUAGGCCACGACUACAAUGGUUCAGGUGCAUUAAUAGAUCAGGUGAAUAAAAAAUUAUAAAAAAAUUUUACACCGUUCGAUGCAAAUUCAAAGUAAAUCAAUGGUUAGAUAAUUGAAAAAGAAGAAGCGGACAACGGGAGAGAAGUUAAGCGUGGGCCCUAUCUAACAAGGGUCGUCAGAUUGUUUUACCAAUUACCACCUUUAUCUCUGUUUGUGACGGCACCAUUGUAGCAAACCGUGGCAGAACAGUAACACUAGUGAUGUUAAUUUAUUAUUGUUUUAUAAAAUAUAAAUUUAAUUAGCUUUUAAUAUUAAUGAGUUUAGGAAAUACAAAUAAUUAAAAUUUUAUAGUGUAAAACAAAUUAAUAAUCACGUUACUAACUUAUUAAUAUCUUGUAUGAUUUGCGAAUUUGAAAAAAAAAAAUCCACAAAUAUCGAUAGUUAUCCAUAUCCAUAUUAAGCAGCUAAAAUUGGAUAUGGAUGAAUGUGGAUAUUAUGGAUAAUUCUAAAUAUUUACCAUCUUUAACUCAAAAUAGAAUUAUAAUUACAAUUCCAAUCACAAAUUCAUCCCAAUUACAAUUAUUAUUAUGAUUUCAAUUUCAAUUACAAUUGCAAUUCCAAUUACAAUUAUAAGUUUAAUUUCAAUUCCAACUACAAUUACAAUUCCCAUUACCAUUACAAUUUCAAUUCAAUCAUAAUUAUAACCAUUGACUAAUUAGAUUGAUGUACAUAAACUAUGUUAAUAUUAUUUUAAUUUUAAUAUUAUUAUUGCGUUUGAAAUAAUAUUUGUUAUGUAUUUAUAUUAUUUCUUUAAUAAUAUUCAUAUAAAAACACUAAAAUUAACAUUUAGGUAGGUAAUCUACCAUCUUAACUCUUAGGAAAAGUUUCAUUUAUCAUCCUUUUGGAGCCAAAACUACCCACCUAGUUUUUUUACGCAAAAAUUUCAUUUCUAAUGAUGAUAGAUUGUUGUUACCAUCAUCAUCAUCAUCCGGACUCUUGUGUCGCGGCUACCAACUUAUUCAUAAUUUUCAUCUCAAUAUUAAUUAUGAAAGAUUUGGGACAUUGCAUUUUGGAACUUGCGAUAUACAAUUUUUAGGCUUUUUUUUAAAAUUUAUUUAAAAUCUGAAUAGAUCUGGCCAAAUUUCCAUUUGAGGCCAUUAAUUUUCCUUUUAAGCAUACCUCACGAUCCUUCUAAAAGAGACAUUAAAAUAAAUGUAACCAUAUUUGAAAUAAAACAUGAUGGCUAUAAUAUAGUAAUUAUGGAGAGCUUGGUUUGAAUCUAAACAACUACAUUUAUUCUUUUUAGAAUAUAUUUUAUCAAUUUUUGUAAGAUUAUCUUAUAUUACUAUAUUGAACCAAGUUUCCACUAAUCUAAAGUCAUGGGUCCUCCAUUUUAUUGUUCAUUACCUUCCCCUAAUGACUUUGAGUCUAUAAAGAGGUCUUAUAAGGGUUAUUUCCACCUAACCCCCAAAUCUUUCAACAUUUUCCACCUUGCACCCAAUCUUUUCAACAUUUUCCUCCGUUAAUUUGACCGUUAUUUUUAACGGAGCUAUUUGAAAGUUAAUGAAAUGUCUGAAAUACCCCUUAUCUUGAAUUAGAAAAGAAUUAAAUGAGAUAAAAUAUUAAUCCAAUAAUUAAUAUUUACAUUAAAAAUUCUUAAUCAAAAGUAUUUAAUAAUAAUCCCAUCAAUUAAUUUAUCAAAUAAAUUUAAUUUAUCAUUAUCAAAUAAUAUUUAGGGCAUGAACUUCCAAAGUUGCCCUUUGACCGUUAGAAUAAAUGGUCAAAUUAACGGAUUUGGGUGUGGAUUGAGCAUUGUUGAAACAUUUGGGUGCGCGGUGGAAUAUGUUGAAAUAUUUGGGGGCAUGACGGAAUUAACCCGUCUUAUAAUUCAAAACAUAUUAAUAAAUUAUUGGGUCUCUACUCUUUAGAUAGUGCUCGAUUUCUUCACCACAAAAAGAUCUCAUUUAGUUUUAGAGUAGUUGGGACCUUUGUUCGACUCCUAACACCCACAUUUAUUUAUUUAUUAAAUGCAUUUGAUCAUUUGUGCAAGAUUAUCAUGUAUUACUAAAUCGAAACAAUCCUCCCCUAAUUUAAAUCCAUAGGUUCACCAUUUAGUGAUAGAAAUAAUAAUUAAAUUAACUAAAAAUAUUUUUUUAUUUUUUAGGUUUAGAAUCCAUCCAGUAUAUACAUACACAACCAAAUGUACAUGUGUAUGUAUAUGUAUGUGUGUGUGUGUGUAACAAUACUAAGGUUCAAUAUUUCAAUGGCCAUUUAAAUUAGGAAAUGAUAUUCAUGCCAACACUAACUUAGAGAAUAAAGUUUUUAUACUACCUCUAAGGCUUCUUCAUUAACACUACUUUGAUUUAAUUUCUUCAAUAGGUUUCAUGAUAUAAUUUCGAAGCCUCUUGCAUCCAAUUCUCGCUCUACAAUCUUAUGCUCUACAUGAUUCAAUUGUUUAUCUCCGUUGAUUUCAAUUCAGUUGCCAUCCAUUGAAAAAAAGGUAUCACUUGGAAAAAAAAAAUUAAUUGGAAUUAGGAUUAUAUUAGUGUAAAGAGUCAUUUUCUUUUAUUUAAUGACUUAAUUGACUAAUUUCAAUCAGUUAAGUUGUUAAUUCAUUUGUUUUUUCAACUUGAUGAAAAUUUUCAUUCAUUAUUAAGUUAUUAAGCUAAUUUUUUUAGCUAAUAUCAUUAAAAGAUAUUUUCCAAAAUAUCCAUAUCUAAUUAAUUAAUUUUUAUCUCUACAUAAAUAAAAUUUAAUAAUUAACAUUAUUACCUAUUUCUAUAACUUGUGAUAAUAUAUUAUUAUUUUUAUCUUUUUAUUUUUUUAAUUAAAAUUAUUUAUCUUCGUAAUUUUUAUGAAUUUUUUUAUAAAAACAUCAUAAAUUAUAAUAAAAUUAAUUAACAUAUACUAAUUUAUAAUAUUAAAGGGUUGUAUUCUACUGAAUAUAAUUUAGAUUAUAAUAAUAUAUAAUCUUAUUUAUGUUUUAACAUUUAUAAUUUAUAAAGACACAAAUAUAAAAAUACGAGUUUCAAAUUUUUUAAUUUAAAAAAUAAAUAAUUUAGUAAUUUUUGAUAAUUUUUUGCAGUUUGGUGGAGGGAAAUAUUCGAAUCUGUCCAAAACUAACCGUUUUGCUUUUUAUUUAUUUAUUUAUUGUUGCAUAACUUAUUCAUUACUUCCAAUUAAUUAAAACAAUUACAAUUCAUUUUCUUAAACACAUAAAAUAACAUAAAUUUUGGUCAAAAUCAUUCAAAAUUAAAAUUUAAUUUCUUUCACAAAAUAAUUUUAUCCUAAUUGAAUUAAUUAAAUAUUUUAUUUUAUUGGGAACAUUUCUUACAAAAUUUGUACCUCAGUGUUCACCGCUUGAGACAAUAAAAGCACAAUUACAGUACUUGUGACAUGCACAACAUAUUAUCUGUGACAUUAUUGAGCAACAGUUGUGAUAAUAAGAGAGUAACUAGAGAACUAGUGACAUGGUGUACGGAACUUGGAACACAAACACAAAAACAAGGGCAGUUGUAAAUUCAACCGGAAUAACCGGUUACUUUGCAAUGCUUAUUGCACACAUGUCAGAAUUUAAUUGACUUUAUGUCAUGCCAUAAUGAACCAUGCAUACACAGGGUGCAGAGUAGGAAGACCCCUUUUCCUUUAAACUCCCAUUUUAAUUGCUAAAAAUAUCCUCUUUAUAUCUAUUUUCUUCAUCAAUCUCAAUGAACACAAGAGUUUUGCAUGAUUAUAUCCUUCGCAAAAUAAUUGCUUACCCGUAAACUUAAUAAAUGAUCCUUAAAAGAUUAUUACUUUGGUAAUUAAUAUAAAUUUAUUCAUUAGAAAGUCUUGUACUGUAGAAAGUUCCCCAAUUUUGACUUGGUAUUAUGCAAAUAGACUUUUUGAGUUUCGUGCAAAAAUUAAUUCAAUACCACCCUUUUGCAAUCAAAAUUUGUUAAUUUGGUACAAGUUUUUUAGUAGAUUCUUGCACUCCUCCAAAAUUAUCUUAAAAUCUCUCUUUUAAUUAUACUUACCUUCAUUUUAAUAAUAUUCUUUUUUUUUCAAUAAAUAAACACUCUUUUCAUUUUAAAUUGUUUAAAUUCUUUACAAACUCAAAACACUAGCUUUUCCAAAAUAUAAUUAAUCAAUAUGAAUAAAUAAGAAAAAAAAAGAAGAAAAGAUUGGAUUUUUUUUUUUUCAGCAUGACAUAAAUUCCAAUAACAAACUCAUGUUGGCGAUUUUGAUUGGCAAAGGCGAACGACGUGCCACAGUCAAGUCAAUGUUUGCUAUUGCAAGAUCAUAUGGCUAAAUUGUUUUGGGUAAGCUACCCUUUUAUGCCCCAUCUUUCUUCUUCAGUAUCAAAUGGAUUAAAAAAAAAAAAGGAGCUGCUUAGGGAAGUAAAAAUUGAAUUUGUGCAUGGUAUAAUUAGUACUCUUUACUUUUAAGGUCGUUGGCUACUGGCCAACCUUAAAACUCUACGGUAACAAUUCACCAUCAAGUUUAUUAGCUACAAACAAUUAAACAAAAAAUGUCAUUUGAGUAGAAAAGAAUCCAGAGUGGCUAGAUAAAGUAACUAAAAGAAGAUACGAUAGGGGUUUUAAAAAAUAAAAUAUGGGUUUUAUACAAAUUGAGAUAAUCCUAUUAAUAUUUGGAAGAAACCUGUGGUGCAACUGUGGUACCGUGCCACAAUUACAUCCAGCCGUUGGAUGCCAAUGGACCCCACCAAUCCAAGUGCAUCCAACGGCUGGAUGCAACUAUGGCACGGUACCACAGUUGCACCGUAGCCUGAUCCUAGUAUUUGUUCUUAAAUAUCAUUCUAAUACAGCAGUGGGCUAAUGAGAUUAAUAGGGGGACGCAGUGCUCCUAACACUGAUCUAUUAAGGAUUUUAAAUUAGCGGCAACGUGGGCCGAAUUUAAUUUGAUCAAUUAAAAUAAGCGGGUGUUCAAAUUCGGCCCACGUUGCCACUCCUUUAAUAUCUAGAGUUGCAGAGAAGGAUUUAAAUUAGUGGCGACGUGGGCCGAAUUUAAUUUGAUCAAUUAAAAGGGGGUGGGCAAAUUCGGCCCACGUUGCCACUCCUCCAAUAUCUAGAGUUGCGGAGAAACAAUUUAACUUCAGUAUAUUCAUUAACAAGAUAAAAACAAAUAACGACCAUAUAAGUAACAACGAGAGAUUUAUUGAUGACAGAUGUUUUACAAUGGCUUUAACAGAUAAACAAAAUAAUAUGACUUGAAACAUUUUCCCAGUGGUAUUUUUUUUUUUUAAACAUUCAUGUGAAAUAAUAUUUACUGGCAGAUUUUUUAUGUAAGCAUGAAGACAAUGACAGCGCAAGUCUACUUUUGUUUUGUGAAAUGAUUAAGUACAGUCACUCAUUUAUUCAAGAAAAGAUUAUUGAAAUCUAUUUUUGAUAAUUAUGUAUGGAUGAAAUAUAUUUGGGUUACUAUAAUUAAAGGCAUUACAGUCUAAAAACAAUCCUCUAAUCUCCAUGAUUAUUUUUAGAAUAAGAUGGUCACUUUAAUCAAAGGUCAUAAUUAAUCUACCAACAAUAAAAACAGUACAAUAUCAAUGCCAACGGCCCAAAUUCGGUGACCGACCGACCACGUUUUGGACACCAAUUACAUGAACAAAAAGGUAAAAAUUUGAGAUUUAUGUUGGACGCCAAUUAUGGUUCUUGUGGAGGACGCUGUAAAUGGUUUUGCAUGUUAUGGAUUGUAUGAAGAGUUUAAUCAUUAGCUUCAUCCUGCUUAGGUUCAGUAUGUUUCUAUUGAUUCCUUUGUCUGUUUCCUUUGAGAUGGAGAAGGUGAUAAUGGAUUUGUAAUUAGAUGAGUUAUUGCAUUGUUGUUGUAUUAUUAUUUCCAUCCUUGGACUUCUGUUUAGUCUAUGCGUACCAAAAUAUGUUAUUAGAAAGGAAAUGUUGACUGUGCAUCUGCAGAUUGAAGUUUUGUUAUAUUAGUUUAUGUCGUGGCUUGGUCAUUAUUAGCAGCCAAUGUCUUUCUUUUGGAUGAAGAGGUACGUCUCUACAAAAAGAGUAGUGCAUAGAUUGCUGAUCCAUUGGACAGAUCUGACCUGUAAGCAUAUUUGCUGCAUGCUUGGGUACAAACGUCAUCUUUGUGUACGUAGAUUGUAUUGCGGCGGUAUUGUAAUGCAUGAUGCGGUCCUUCAUUUUCGUUGUACUUAUGGUUGCUUUCUUAAUGCCUUAAUGAAUAAUGUUGUUUUUUUAUCCUAUUUUAUCAUGUUUGUUUGUUAUCUAUUUCCCUAAGUCGCAUGUAUAUAUGCUAUUGGCCAAAAGAUAAUCAAAAUAUAGGCUUUGAGAAAACUAUUUAGUCAUUUACAUUUCAUUAUUUUAAUUGGAAGAGCAAAAUAAUUCUUCGAAAGAGUUUGGUUGCUGAGGUAUGCAUUAGGUUGUAUGUGGAACAAUGUGUUUUAUGGAAAGAAUAUAGAAAAUGCCUUUAUAGUAUGUUGCAUUGUCAUACUUAAUCCGUUUAAUUGCUUUUCCUUGUCCAUUGAGAUAUCUGUGAACCUCUAUCACCAUAAAAUCAAAUUGAAUGGUGGAAUGACAUUGCUUUUUGUUGGUAGGCACUAUUUUAGAUUUAUAACUGUGGAUUUUCAUAGGCUGUCAAUGUGAAAGGUCUAUCUGUAGACAAAUUCCUUGCACAGCAGAAGGGCAACUGGGGCUCCAUUGUUUAAGGAGAUCAAAGUAGGAGCCAGGUUAUUGUCAUGCUUCGUAAUGAAUUUAAUCAUCCCCAGUUGACGAAUAAUGUUGCUGAUAGCGUCCUGUUGUGUAGGAAUUACCUGGUAUUUCGUGGCGGUUGAAUGAAGUUAGAACUGUGGCAUAUGGGAAUUUUUUAUAAGAAGCUGAUCAUAAUCUAUCAUAUGGGCAACAAAUAGGAAAACAGUUAAUUUUGUGUAAAUUAGCAUUGUACUAUUGUAAUGCAUUUGUGUUACUCCAUAAAAUUUCAACUAGUUUGCUUGUAAUGAACAUUUCAGUGUAUAAUGACGUUGUAAGGGGUAGGCGCGAAGAUUUGUGAAAAUUUGAACGGAGUUGAUUAUGAGCAAGUACAUGUGCUGGAGAUUUUUUGUUGAAAUUUAUUAUGGCUCCCAUGUAUCCGGUGGCCUUAGUAAUUUGCAUAGGUAAUUGACAGACAAUGAUUUAUUGGGUUGCAUUAUCGGUUUCUAUGUAAGGGAUAAGUCGGUGAUUGACAUCGAUUUGAGUUCUUGAGAAGUUGGAAUUCACUGAGUUCACAUGGAAAUUAUAUGAGAGACCUCUUGCAACAUAAGCAACCUGUAAGUUACAAAAAGCUAAUAGAAUCCAUAGUUUCUUUCCCUUCCACUACUUCCUUCUGCAACGCUAGUAUCUACAACAGUUUCCUUAGUAAUCUCUAUAUAGCAUGCUUUCAGAUAUAACAUGCUUUCCGCUUUUCACUCUGACCUACCUUCAUUCUUGGACAAAGUUACACAUUAUCUUUUUAGUCUGAACCUCACUUUCGAUUUUCUGCUCCGUCUAAUCUCAAAGCACACGAACUACAUUCAUUACAAAAAACAAUUUUCAUAUUUGACGAUUUUUUUCAAAUAACUCAUAGCCACUCCUAUACUUAUAGCUACAGUUAUAUUGCCACUUCAUACAAACUUACCUGAAAUUUCCAACAGGUUCUGUUGUUCAACUCACCAACGCGGAUAAUUCAUAACCAAAAUGGCCAACUCUACAGUUAUUUUCAAUUUUUUCGCUGCCUCAAAUUGCACGAACAUUUGUUAAAACCCUAAAGUACCAUGUAACCUGUCUUAACCGGUUGCCAAUUUAAAACAUAAUUAAAGAUAUCAAACUGGAGCCAUUAGAUCAUGUGCCCAUAUAUCCUACGGCUAUUGCAAAUGAUGACAAAAUAAGGGGUAUCUUCCCCCAACUGGAAGGCAGCCGAGUCCAUCCAAAUUAUAUUCUAUGCUAAGUUUUCUAAUUUGAUUUUUUAUUUUAAGACUCUUUCAUUGAACAUAACAUAGAUCAGAAAAAAGAAAAAGAAAAAAAAGUCUUUUAUUUAUGCUGAUAUGCCAUUCUAAUUUCAAGUGUCACUGUUUACCAACUGAGUUUCAUCAGCUUCCACUCCAGAUUCUUGAUAUGCCAUUCUAAUUUCAGGUGUCAUUAUUUACCAAUUGAGUUUCACCAGCUUCCACUCCAGAUUAUUCACCGACACACCAACUUCAUCUAAAGAAAAACCCCCAGUUGAGAGACUGGUAUUAGGGUAUUCAAUCCCAUUGGCCUGUUGGGGGGGGGGGGGGGGAAGCACUAGUUAAACAAUUCAAUUUACAUGGUAUGGUAAAUGAAGUAUUAGCAAAUGAAAACAGAGUACAGCAACAGAAACUUACACCUACGAUCUUCCAGCCCAUGUCAAACUGAUAGGCUAUUGGCUCGAAGCCACAGCACUCCACAACAGCUAGUGUUGACUCACCUCCAACAUAAGGCACGCCAAAGCAUCCAGAGGCCAGGCCUAGAGUCCCUCUCCGAGAGCAGUCAUUACACUAUUGUACAUAAAAUUGAAUCAUAUCAUAAGCAAACAACAAAAUAUGUUAUGACUAAGAAGGAUUGCACAUACAUUAAUAAGACACAAGCAGCCAUCAACAAUAACCAGAACCAAAAGCAUAGGCAGGAAUUGCUAUUAGAUACUUGAAAUUGGUACCUUAAUUGCAGCCUAAAUUGGUGACAAAUUAGCUAGGUCAAUUUCACAUUUGAAUUGAAGGAUGCAUAAUUGACUCCCAAGACCUGGGUUAAUUUGUACCAACCAAUAUGUUCGGAAAAUGCUUGCUUGUGUGAUAUGCAUGAAUGUGUCAAUUUCUUUAAGAAUGGAAUUCUUGUCAAUGACAAUUCAAUGCUCUAAUAAUAAUGCUCGUAGAAGAUCUCAAUUACUUGUUUUAAAGCAUCAGCUAUUGGUGCUGCUGCCAAUUGUGUUUCCAUAAACCAGUCAUUAGAGAACUAUUAAUGCAUCUAAAUCAAUCAAACAGUGGCUGAUGUGCAUGCCGCGAACAAACAUGAUUAGGUAUAGAUUGCUACAACUAAUAGUUUUUGUUCUCGGGGCUUAGUUUUUCGUAGUAGCAUUUAAGAAAGAUUAAGUAUUACGUGAAUGGAAUUCGAAUUGACUAGCAGUGGUACUGCCCAGAUCUGAAGUGCAUUUCAACAACGAGUUUCUAUGAUAACAGACACCAGAUCUGAAGUGUGUACACAAAACUCGUAAAAAUAACAUCCGAAAGAAAUAUAUCUAUUAUACCUGAAGUGAAACCUUGGAUCCAACGAAAAGAGGGAUCCAUUUGCUGUGCUCCAAACGGCAGCCCUCUGCGGUGCACUUGAACUGAAAAAAAAAUUUAAAAAAAAUUAAAAAAAAAAAAAGAAAUCCCUAAGGAAGAUAGUAAACUUAUUACCUUCAGCCAGUACGGGAAUUCCGUAUCCUCAAAACCUGGUUCCAUUCUCGCAACUUUUUCAAGUUGAGCGGAAAUUUUCAGAGAAAAGCGCUCGACUCCCAUGGCUUUCGCGGUGACUGGAUGGAGAAUUGGAGAAGAAAAUGUCAUUUGAAUCUUUGAGUUUUAUAGGGCUGGGCCUUACUCGGUUCGAGUCGGUUCUGGAAACCAAUCGGUUCUUUAAAACUGAAACCAAACACGAACCGAAUCAAAUUAAUUCGGUUCGGUUCAGAUCGGUUCAAUUUUUCCCCUUUCUAAUUACUCAAAAUUUUCAGCCUAAAUUUAAUUCUUUUUACAUCCUAAUUUAAAUAUAACCACACAAAACUUUAUAUAAAAUUUUCAUGUAAUUACAAUUAAUCAAUAUUUUUUAAAACGAAUUUUAAAAUUUAGAUGAAUCAUCUUCAAUUUCAUGAUAGACAGGAGACUCAUUCUCAUCUUGAAUUUUGUCUUAUUUUAAAAUUUGAACUCUUGCUUGAAGACUUAGAUAUCUGAUAAAAUGGAGAAAAUUAUGAAAUAAGUUGCUUUUACAAAAUUUACUAAACACUAUUUUUAUUGAAAAUUAUGAAAUAAGCAGCUUAUUAAAUUUCAACCGUAAUACCAAACGGAUCCUAAUUUAAAUUUAGAAAAAUAAUUGCUAAUCCCCAAACAAAAAUUCGAGUCAGUAACCUCUCAACAAUUGACUGCAAGCUUCAUAAAAUUCCAGUCUCUGCCCAUUGAGUGUAGCAGAUAUUGUUAGUAUAGCCGAUGUUGUAGAAUUGAUGUUAAUGUCACAUUUCGUCUGGCUUGUUUCAGCCUUAGCAAUUAAUGUUGAAGGUGUUUGCUGUUGAAUGAAAUUGAAUGAAAAUUUACAAAUAUGAGAUAGCUUCAAUUUUUUUUUUUCAAUUCAGUUAGCUUGUUGCCUUGUUAAAGCUCUGGCCACUGAGAAAGUUAUACAAAUGAGAUUGAAAAAAGGGGAUCUCAAAUCAUAUAAUCAUCAAAUUAAAGGAAUGAAAAUGACUAACAAUAUAAUUCAAAAAGGUAUAUAUAGAUUUGCCAUCCAAUUGACGCUUGCUAUAUCAUCGUUCCUCGCAUAUUAGCCAUAAUUUUGAAAUAUUUAGGAUAAAUAUCAAAUUAUUCCACUCAUGAAUUAACUAUCUUCAAAUUAUCCCCUUAUUUUUUAAAACCUAAAUUUACUCCUCAAAUCUUAUUAUUUCUCCAUUAAUUUUAAUUGUUAAAAGGGUAAAUUAGUAUCUGUAAAAUUUGAAACAUUCAGUAAUCGAAAGAAAUCAAGCCUUUCUAUUUCUUCACUCUUUUAUAUUUAUUAUUAGAUAAAAUGACUAAUACCCCUGGCUUGUAUUUUGGAGAACAAAGAUACUUUAACAUAAAUUAAAUUAAUUUUAAUUUAAUUUCAAAAAAUUAAAAUUCUCAAAAUUCAUUUGUUAAUGUUCAUUCAUCUUCAUCUAGUAAAACUCACUUGCUUACUAUUCAUUCGUUCAUUCAUUCUCAUCUAAUAAAACUCACUCUCUUCUGUAAAUAAAUGCAGUACAAUUGCAACAUUCUCUCUCCCAAAAUUUUUGUUGAUAGAUAAUUUUAAAUAAACUAUUCGUAAAUAAAAACUAAAGUAAAACUAAAAUCCAAUUAAAAUCUGAGCAAGUUUUGCAAUAACUCAAUUAGUUUUGAAGUCAAAAUUCCAUAUUUGAAAAUAGUCAGAAUAGUUAUCGAUUAUAGUUGCAUAUCAUGGUCAAGAAAAUUCUAAGAACUCAAAGGCCAUGCAUCCAUGGCAGCGCGGCCAUGGAUACCAAACCCAUGGCUGCUUGAUAUCGUUAAUUAACAAAAAAAAAAUUGUUAAAAAAGAGAUAUUUUUGUACUUUAACAGGUCAACGACAGUGAAUCGUUAUAGUUAACUAUUUUUAGGAUAAUUUGAAAUUUUCAAAAGUAGAGAGAUAAUACAAAGAUAAUCAAUUCACAGGUGGAGUAAUCUGAAACUCACCUAAUCAUGUAUAUUGAAUAGAUGUAUGGUUGAAUUUUAUAUAACUUUUUGCAUUUUAUUUCUUCUGUUUUAAAUAUAUAUAUAUAUAUGAGAAAUUUAAUUAUAACCUAGAUUACUUACAUGAUUAGCGCAUAACUAUUUGCAAACUACCUACGUUAUGCCCAAAAUUUUGCAAUAUUAAUUUUGAUGAGUGAUUAAGACAGAAAAUUGUCUGCAAUAGGUAUAUAUCAAAUAGAAAUAGACUACUCCAUUGAAAAUAGCUUUUGAAUUAUCUUGAAAUUGAAAGGCCAUUCAUAGAUUUAGUGCUCUUUUACUUUUGUUGUAUUCAGCAUUUGCCUGUUUCUCUCAUGAAUGAUCCACAAGAUUAAGAAACACUCCUGAAAAUGCUUUCCUUAAAGUGAUCUUAACUCAAUGAAUAUGGCAAUAUGAAAAGAUGCAAUUGAAUUUGCAGUUAACAAAAAGCAUAGUAGGAUUCACUUAAUAGCCUAAAAUGGUAAGAAUUAACAGCCACAGUGAUUUAUUUCUUCCAAAGCUUAUGACAGAUAUCCUUCCAAAUCUUGAUUGCAAAUCACAAUGGCCUAAUUAGUCUAUUGCAAAUCAUGAACAGGUCCACUUUAAGAAAAGGGUGUUUGAUAUUCUGAACCUAAUCUUCCAAACAAACAAAUAAUAAUGUCGAGCAAAGGUACCUAGCUGCAAUUGUGUUCUUGUACAAUGCACAAUUAUCCAUUUUGCUGAUUCUGGAUUUGUUUGUUUCAAUCUCAUAUUAUUCAACAUUUUGUGAUGGUUCACUAUUUUAAGUAAACUUGACUAUCACAUUGUUUCACUUUCUGUUACUUUUGUAGUUUGUCAUGUCGUGUGAAUACUAUUAGCUAGUUAAAGGCCCUGCCAUAGCGAGAUGCACGAAUUGAAAUUAUGGCUCUGCAUAUGUGCUGUGAAAGCUACACGAGAUUACCAACAAAUGCGUACAUCAGCUAGCAGGGGCUGUUAUAUCCUAACUAAGAUUUAAGAUUUGGGAAUGCAGCUGCAUUAAAUAUUUGUUGAGAGAGUUUUGUCGCCUUAGUAGUCCUACCCAGCUCGAAUAUAGAUUAGGCGGGCACAAUAUAAUCUUCGGAUACCAGAUGGUUUAAUACACCAAAAAAAAAAAAAAACUACACAAGAUUUGUUGGGUUGAGUGCCACAGCCUUGUGAACUAAAUUACGGAAACUAGUGUAAAAAAUUAUUGCUUCUGCUCUUUGUUUAAACAAAUUUACCACUGGUAAUUGAUAUGUUGUUGGUAUUAAUGCGAGUCUUUUCUAUUAUUUAAGUUUUUGGAUAAGUCCUCUUGACGCAGCUCAAUUGGCAGUAAAUAUGCUUUGUUUAAUGUAUCCACGAUAACCUUGAAUUCAAGUAAUAAUAUAAAGCUCAGUGGCUGGUGUUUAGUGGGCGCUUUUUUUUAAAAAAAUUUAAUGACUUAAUUCCAAUCAACUAAGUUAUUAAGUUUUUUUUUUCAAUUUAAUGAAAAUUUUUAAUCAUUAAUCAUUAAGUUAUUAAGCUAUUUUUUUUUAUCUUUUCGUUUAAUCUAAAAAAUCUAAAUGAUAUCAUUAAAAAAUAUUCUCCAAAAUAUUCUUAUCUAAUUAAUUAAUUUUCAUCCUUACCUAAAUAAAAUUUACUAAUUAGUAUUAUUAUUUGUUAUCAGGAGAAAACAAGAAAGCACGUACGUGAGUUGCAUGACAUAAGCAAGAUGCUAUGAAGAUAUGAGAAUAAGAAGCAUGAUGUAAGUAAAAUAUCACGAAGAUAUGUGAGCAAGAAAGCAUGCAUGUGAGAAGCAUAAUAUAAGCAAGCUGUCAUAACAAUAUGAGAGCAAGAAGUGUGACAUAAGUAAGAUGUUAUGAUGUAGGAAGUUAUUUUAGGUAUUUUAAAAUUCUAGAAUUUUAAUAUUUUAUGACUUUCUAUUUUUAUCAGGAUCAACUAAGGUAUGAUAUUUAAUUAACUUAGGAAACUAUCUUUUGUUUCCAUUAUAAUUGUGAUUUAGUUCCUCUUUUUAAGUUAACUUAGGGAAGUGAGUUUACUCUAUUAUAGAAAAGUCUUAUUAUUAUUUUCAGCACUUCAAAUUCAAUUAUUCAGUAAAACUCUCUUUUUAUAAUUUCUUUUGGAAUUAUCUAUCAAAAUCUCUCUUGUAGAGUCGUUUGGAUUAGAGCAUCAUCUAAUCUCGCAUUACGUGUUAUUAAAAAUCUCAUUGAUUCAUUUGGAUUAGAACGAGAUCUAAUCACGCUUCGAUUAGAGCGUGACCUAAUUGCGUUGGCUUGGUCCAAUACUACAAUGAUAUCUAGCAUUUCUAUCCAAUCAAUUCCGCUUCCACUACACUCGCUCCAUUAUGUUAUGAAGAUGUGAGAGCAAGAAGCAUGCAUGUGAGCUACGUGACAUAAAUAAGAUGUCAUGAAUAUAUGUGAACUGAAAGCAUGAGGACAUUACGUAAGCAUGAGGUCAUGAAGCCAAAGUCAUCGCAGUUGCAAAGGAAGAAUCCAGAACCCGCUAUUUAAACCCAAAAGAAAAAUUUAGAAGUUUCAGAAAACCAAUUUAACGAGAAAUAAAUAUAGAUUUCGGAUAAAACUCUAAUUAACUUGUAAAAGUUGAUUAGAACAAGAAGUUAUCAAUGACUUAGGGCACCUAAAAUUAUAUUAUAAAUAAAGAGUUUUUCAUGCAUAUAAGACAGAGGCAAGAGUUAAGUCAGAAAAAAAAAGGAAAAACUUUUUUGUAUUUUUCAUUAAGGGCUAGUUUGGGAAUGUUGUACCUUUUAAAAUAAUUAAUUUUAACUGUGCUGUAGAAAUAAUCAGCUGUGAAGAGAAUCAGUUAAGUGUUUGGUAAAUUUUGUUUUUAUAAGUACUGUGAGUCUUGAAAGUAAUUAUGAAUGUUGAGUUACUUUUACUGUUAAACUGCUGAGAAAAAUAAAUGACUAAAACAUACACGAUGCAUGAUAAAAUUUACUUAUACAUAUAAAAACAUGUACAUAUAAUAUUUUUAAUUGUGUAUUAUAAUAAUUUUUAUUAAAAAUAGAAUUUAUAAUAUAUUGAUUUUAUUUUUUAUUUUUAUCUUAAAAUACUCGAUAAUUAAAUUUAUAAUAUAGUAAAACAAAUUUAAUAAUAAUUCAACCAACAAAUUGAAAUUAAUAAAUUUAUAUUGAUAAAUUAUAAUAAAAUUUUAUUCAAAUAUUGAUUUUGUUUCUAAUUUGAAUAAAGAUAAAAAAUUAUUUUGGGUUUAAGUAAUAAUUUUAAGGAUAUUUAUGGAAUUAAAUCAAGGGAUAAAAUUAAUUCUCAAAAUUAGAAUCUAAAAGCUAAUUCUUCCUUACUUUUCAAAAUUAGUUGUAGGAUGGGUUAAUUUUGAUUUGAUUAAAGUAAUUUUGAUUUUUUUUUAUCAAACACUAAAAUUAGUUUUUAAAUUUUCAAAAUCACUUUUAAGCUUUCUAAAAUUAAUCCUAAACAGACCCUAAAUGGUGAAAGUUGCUCUUUUUAUUCCCAUGAACAUAGGCUAAGCACUGAACUAUGUAAAUUCUCUAUGUUUUAUUUUUUUAUAUCGUCUUGUUUGUGUAAUUUUUCAAUUGACCAAAAAUCAGCGCUGACAUUGUCUAUCUCUAUAACCUGUGAUAAUAUAGUGGUAAAACUAGUAUUAAGUUAAUUUCAAUCAACUAAAGUUAUUAAGUCCUCCUUUUUUCAACUUAAUGAAAAUUUGUAGUUAUUAAUCAUUAAGUUAUUAAGAAAACUUUCUUAAAUUUUUGUUUAAUCUAAAAAGUCUAAAUGAUGUCAUUAAAAGAUAUUUUCUAAAACAUGUGUAACUAAUUAAUUUUUAUCCUUACCUAGUAUUAUUACCCAUCUUAAUAAAUUGUGAUAAUAUAGUGGUAAGACUACUAUUAUUUUCUUCAAAUUUACAUUAUUUUUCUUUAUAACUUUAUAUGAAUAUUUUUUGUCUAAAAACAUCAUAAACUAGAACAAAAUUGAUUAACAUAUAUUGUAUUCAAUUAAACAUGAAUUAUGUUAUGAUAAUAUAUUAUUUUAUUUAUAUUCUUUGAGAUAUUUAUUGUUUGUUUAACAUUUAUAAUUUACAAGGGCACACAUAUACAAAUACUAAUUUUCAUAUUUUUUAAGUUAAAAAAAUUAAUACUUAUUUCUAACGAUUCAAAUAAAAGAAACAUUAUACAUUCAAUUUUUUUUUUAAAUUCAGACUAAUUUAAAUUUUUUAAAAAUAAUUGAUAUCCCCAUCCAAAUUAUAUAUAUAUAUAUAUAUAUAUAUAGAGUCUGUCACCUCUCAACAAAACCAAUCAUGCUCACACGGCACAUGAUGGAGUUGUAAAAUUGUAGCUCUCUUCUCAUCAUACGUUUAAACACUGUCAAUUUUAAUUCAUUCGUACUCCUCUUUUGUUUUCAAAUGAAUGUAUAUCUUGCAAAGAGCUGUAUAUAGCAUCUCUAAUUAUGAAUAACCCCAUGCAAGCUAGCUCACAACAGAAAAUUAGAAACUUAUUAUACAAAUUACUCAUAUAAUUAACAAAAAGAAAAAUGUACUUAUUUACAGGACACUACAACAAAAUCAGUUUUUAUUCCGGAUGUCGUAAUUAAGUCCUAAUUAAAAUUUGAAACAAAAUCUUCGUUCAUAAGUAUAUAUAUAUAUAUAUAUAUAUAUGGUUGGCUUUUAGCAGUUAUUUAUGUCAAGAUCGCUUUAGAUCAAAAUUUUAACAAAAUAUAAGCGUUUGAAUGAGACAACUUUUACACCAUAAGAAAUAAGUCUAAAUAACAUAUGCCAGCAACACAAACUAAUUUACACCAUCCUUGUUGUCCCAAAUACGUUCCUUUCUACUUUAAAAGAUGCUAAUGCUAAAUCUGCAACUUUGCAAGAUUCAUUUUCAUAACAGCAUGAACCAAGAAGUUUAAUAAGACUCCAAAACUGUACAACAAACUUGGUGAUCACAAGCUUCCUUAAUUCUUAUUAACAAACUCAUUAACGAAUGUGACUGAACAAUAAUUUUUUAGCCCUGUGAUCACGCCAACAACUUUAAACCUUAGAAUAUGCAUCUCAUCAUAGUAUCUGCACUACCUAACUUUUGAAACUUGCAUCAGAUAGCCAUCAUUAUAUUAAGCCACCAAAAAAUUUCACAUCACCUAGUUUCUACCACCACCUAUCUUUUAUAAGAAGUUCAUGUAACCAUAUAGUCACCAAAAUAAUCUGCACUACCUAAUUUUUGAAACUUGUAUCAUCAAAACACUUUUUCCAAAAAAUCGGGAGAACCUCCCAUCGGCUAAAUGAAAAACUUAAUUUGAGUUUCAUUCUGCUCUGAAGAACAAAAAGUCCAAAGAAAAACUUUAUUUGACCUUUUUGUUAUUCAAUAAAUAAAAAUGACAAACAAUGUCUUCAACUAACAAACAUAAAAGAAGCUGUCCUGGCACCGUAUUACCCGACUCCUUAUUAAUCAAUCCAAAAUAAAAAUACAAGAGCCAUAGGGGCUAGCCAGACGCAAGGCUAGAGUUCAACACUCCAUGCCAAGCUAGUGUCCAAAUCUGCAAGCCAAUCUAUCUUCUCCCAAAUGUCCUCACCGUUAAAAAUGUACCUUUUGACGUUGUUUACACAAUUAGAUGUAUACUCAACCACAACUUCCUCUAUGCACUGCCGCCAGCAUGAGAUGGGACGGGAUUUGCAGCAUUGAGCAAUCCCUCCUUCAUAUACUGCCUGCUUCUUAUAAGAAAACUCAAACUGAAACAAAAGGACAAGGCACUUAUAAGCAAAGCAGCGUUUGUUACAAGCACACAAAACAAAGGCAUAAACGUAAAAUGGACCAACUUAAGUACCAGCAUUACAUGUGUAUCAUAAUCACAUAAUUCUCACAGUAUAAACCAAGAACUAAUUCAGACCAAUGCAAAAUCUUCAGUACCUUAAAAGAGAACCAGUUCAAGUAAAAUGAUUUGAUUGUAACAGUCCUUAAAUGAGGUGAAAUCCAGAGCAAACCAUCGAUAGUGUUUUUAAUUGCGACUCGCACACGGGUUCCAGUUAUUACAAAGUCCAGGUUGUUGUAACCAUAGAAUGGGGAAGAUUGGAUUUGCCUCAAGUCUUCUGGAAUAUCCGCAUUCUGCACAAAAGAAUUUGAAUAAUAUAUAAGAAAUAAAAAAGUAUGUAAAAUAGUAAACAGCUCGAUAUUU
rnacentral:lncRNA from 1 species